rnacentral:lncRNA from 1 species
AACAGUUCGAAAGUGAGGAUUCUGCAGGUUGUUGCGACGUCGCAUGCUUCUCUUUUGCGCCGAAUAUGACACAUAUUCCCCACAUAAAAGUAAGGUUAAAGACUGUGGCUCCAACAUUAGUGCUUACUCCAGUAGAGACUUGAUUCUGAGCUUUCUCUGUACUAGAAAAAGCUCCAGAUGCUACAAGAAAGUAAGUACCAAUAAAAGCAUUAGAAUCUUACAAUUAAAAUUAGUUAAUCAUGUAUAACAGCGUCGUGACUAUAAAACAACUCAAAGAUGCUCUUAACAUGGUGUGAUAUUGUCCGUUUUUGCCCAGAGUAUCCAGCACCUUAUAAGUGGCUUUCGUUUCUUUUCUACACUCACAAAGCAAAGGAACUUCGUUCGUACUAACCAAUAAUCUCCCCCUUGGAUAAACAUGGCGCGCCACUCAACAUCAACCGAGUAUUUAUGGUCACCAAAUCCCACGGGCUUCUUUAUGGUAUGCGUCGUCAAAGCUUGGGGAAAAGAUAGCAAACCGGCCUGUAGAUGGGCAAAAAGUACUACGCACUCCGCUAUCUACAUAGUCAGCUCGUCGAACUACUGGCUCUUAUACCAGUCCUUGGGUUCAAACCACAAAUAAUACUCUCUAUAUGGUGUGAUAUAUAUUGUCCGCUUUAGGCUAAACCCACACGGUUUUGCCCGAAAGAAUUCAUACCAUUAAGAGUAUCCAACAUCUUAUAAGUAGCUUCUUUUUCUUUUCGACUUUCCAUAUGGACUUAGUCCACACACCCAACAAAACAAUUAAACGUAAAUGAAACGAAGAUGAAAACUACAUUUACUAACCUAUCACCAAGAUAAUCCUUGGGAAAGCCUUCAAGAUUUGAAACAAGGUAGCGCCAAAAAUGCCCGUACCAAGUAUGUUGAAGAGCGUUUUGCUUCCAUUCGAGACCAGCUUUUCUCCUACAAUCAGCAAGUACUGAUAGACUGCUAUUAGGAAAAUGAAACCUCCGACGCUGUCAGCACAGGGAAAGACGCCAUAUAUAUGUUCACAUUUUUCAUACGUAGCUUGAUUUUCAACACGAUCAACUCCAUCCGAGAUAAAUUGUUCCGAAGAAUUUAGUCUCAAAAGCCUGCUUUGCACCUGAACAACAACAAAGACAAAUGUGAUUAACCAUAAGGAAAGGCUUUGCAUUAUUUUACAGAUAUAAAGUGUACAGACAAAUGUGAACAACUACUAGUACUGAAUGAUUGAAUCCAUAGAUAAGGUAACAUUUAUAGUGGAAAUUCUUCACUUUAGUCUAGCCAUAUUAUAGAAAACGACUUGACUACACUUGUUGACAAUUCCCCAUUUUUCUCAAAAUAAUUUCCAAGCCAAAUGAAAACACUACACUUGUUGACAAGAUUCAGGAUAUUUUAGUGGCAUAAAUCAUGAUAUAUGAACAGAUACUCAACUGGCGAGUAAGCAAUCCAACUUUGAGAGUGCAUAUCUAGACACCUUAACUUGGUCGCAACUAAACACUCCAACUGAUCUCCACUGUGUCUCGUGGACACCCGCGCUGACAUGGCACAUAAAUUUUAGAGGCGUCUAGAUGAUUAUUUCGUAAGUUGGAGUAUUCGACAGUUGAACACAGUGAAGCCAAGUUGAGGUGCCUAGAUGUGCAUACUUAACGUUUGAUAGACAUCCAACUUAUGAUUGUCUUUUAAUAGAAAUCAACGACAAAUGUUUUGCGGAGAAAUUUUGACUUUUUGAGAAGAGUCGCCACUUAAUUCUGAGAAGGAAUUAAGAAACCUUUAGAGAGUUACUUCAAACGAUUCAAAACAGAAAAAUCGUUUUAAGUUUUGAAGAUUCCGAGUAAGUGGUUCCUAUUAAUGUUUUAGGAAGGUGUUAGACACCUGAAACAUCCGCUAACUUGUGGUUAUCUGGACUGUUUGAAAACAUUUUUUGAUUAACUUCUGAAAAGAUUAAUUUGUUGAAAUAGUGAUUUGAUUUUUUUUUUUUUUAAAGAAGACUUGUGUAAAAUAGAUUUAGGCGACUUAGUAGGAAUUUUAACUAAGUCUAAACAAAACUAAUAAACAAAUAAACACAUAAAAGGGGAAGGGAGGAGAAAGUAAAGGGUUUAGGCCAUUGGGCCCAAAUCAACGAGACCUGUCCUAGUCUAGNNNNNNNNNNNNNNNNNNNNNNNNNNNNNNNNNNNNNNNNNNNNNNNNNNNNNNNNNNNNNNNNNNNNNNNNNNNNNNNNNNNNNNNNNNNNNNNNNNNNNNNNNNNNNNNNNNNNNNNNNNNNNNNNNNNNNNNNNNNNNNNNNNNNNNNNNNNNNNNNNNNNNNNNNNNNNNNNNNNNNNNNNNNNNNNNNNNNNNNNNNNNNNNNNNNNNNNNNNNNNNNNNNNNNNNNNNNNNNNNNNNNNNNNNNNNNNNNNNNNNNNNNNNNNNNNNNNNNNNNNNNNNNNNNNNNNNNNNNNNNNNNNNNNNNNNNNNNNNNNNNNNNNNNNNNNNNNNNNNNNNNNNNNNNNNNNNNNNNNNNNNNNNNNNNNNNNNNNNNNNNNNNNNNNNNNNNNNNNNNNNNNNNNNNNNNNNNNNNNNNNNNNNNNNNNNNNNNNNNNNNNNNNNNNNNNNNNNNNNNNNNNNNNNNNNNNNNNNNNNNNNNNNNNNNNNNNNNNNNNNNNNNNNNNNNNNNNNNNNNNNNNNNNNNNNNNNNNNNNNNNNNNNNNNNNNNNNNNNNNNNNNNNNNNNNNNNNNNNNNNNNNNNNNNNNNNNNNNNNNNNNNNNNNNNNNNNNNNNNNNNNNNNNNNNNNNNNNNNNNNNNNNNNNNNNNNNNNNNNNNNNNNNNNNNNNNNNNNNNNNNNNNNNNNNNNNNNNNNNNNNNNNNNNNNNNNNNNNNNNNNNNNNNNNNNNNNNNNNNNNNNNNNNNNNNNNNNNNNNNNNNNNNNNNNNNNNNNNNNNNNNNNNNNNNNNNNNNNNNNNNNNNNNNNNNNNNNNNNNNNNNNNNNNNNNNNNNNNNNNNNNNNNNNNNNNNNNNNNNNNNNNNNNNNNNNNNNNNNNNNNNNNNNNNNNNNNNNNNNNNNNNNNAUAAAGCUAUCACUUCAUCUCUUAUACGAAGAUUUUGGAGAUCCCUUAAAAUAAUUAACAAGCAAAUGACAAAUUCUUGAUUUAAUCAAUUACUCUUUUUAUUAAGGCGAAACAAACAAUAGUAACUAUUUUUUCAAUAUACAAAAAAACAACUUUACAUGCUAAAACAAAUAUAUCGGCCACCAAUAAAUUUAAACAAGGCAUGAGUUCGCCUUUGAGCAAAGAUCAAAACUUUAUACAUGACAAUCAAAGAAUAAGUCAAAAGGCAAAACAAUCAAUAUUAACCAUUCUUUUCAACAUAAAUUACAUGCUAAAAACAAACAUAUCUACCAAUAAUGAGUAUAAACAAGACAUGGGUAUGUCUUUUCAAGUAAAGAUCUAAACUUUAUCCAAAAUAAUCAAAGAACAAGGUGAAAAGGCAAAACAUUCAACAUUAACUAUUCUUUUUGACAUAAAGAAAAUAACUUUACAUGCUAAAAACAAAUAUAUCCAACAACAAUGAGUUUAAACAAAGUAUAAAUACAUCUUUUAAGCAAAAAUUGAAACUUUAUCCAAAAUAAUCAAAGAAUAAAGUCAAAAAAGGCACAUACAACUAUUGCUAGUUCAUUUUUAUAUCAUGAACAUGAAAAUAAUUAGAAUAUCGAUACCACAACGUCGUAGGGCCUUCAAGGCCAUCUACAACAUACAAUCCUAGCAAACAAAAUUAUAUCUACGAACUACGAAGAAGAAAAAAGAUAAAGAAAAAAAAUGAUAAUAAAAACUAAAAGAAAAAAAGAAAAAGAUGUGUUUACCUUUUGGGGGGCAGCAAAACGAGACUACGAGCUUCGUCGGAAUCAACCACCACCGAAAAACGUCGCCGGCAACUCAAAAAUUUUGAUUAGCCGACCAAUUAUAUGAAACAAAAAUUUUACUAAAUAAAAAUAACUAUUUUUCUCAAAAGGAGUUUUUCACCUUUCUAGCGUCUUUUUUUCUCUUCCUUUUCCCCUUUUUCUAUCAAAGUAGUGGUAGUAUUUAUAGGAGAGAAUGAGAUUUUUUUUUCUCUCUUCCACCAAUGUGGGAGAAAAGUAUUUAUACGAAAGGAUUCCACCAAUGUGGGAGAAAAGUAUUUAUACGAAAGGAUGAAGAUUUAUUUCUUGUCAUCUACCAAUGUGGGAGAAAAAAUAAUUAAGGUUGUUUUUGAAAUUUUAAAAUUGAAGAUAAGGUGAGGUGGAACAUAAUGUGGGGGGAAAUUGUACAAUGUAGUACAACUUUUGAAUUUCAAAAUUGGGAAAAGACAAAGUUGGGGGGAAAUAGUACAAUGUAGUACAAUUUAAAAUUAUUUUUUUGUGAAAUUAGGUAGAAGUUAUGAGAGUUUUUUGAAAUUUUGGGGUUAUUUAAAAUAUAACCCCAAUUGAGAUUUAAAAUUUAGCCAUAUUUAUUUAAUUUUGAUCAAAUUACAAAUCAAUUGACGGAUUGCAUUACAAUUAUGGCCAAUUUGAUUUCAAUUAUGACCAAAUCUAAUAGAUUGGCUAAAUUAAAUUGAAAUUCGAUGUGAAUUAAUACUUUCUUUAAUCUCGGGCUUCUUGAUUUUAUAAAAUCAAACACAUAUUUAUCCGAAUAAAUUAUUUUUAUUAUAAAAUCUCGUAUAAUUGAAUACGAUAAAUUAUAAUUACUACUUAAAAUGACAAAAUUACGUACAAAUAUAUUUAAUAAAUUCUUAUUAGGAUGAAAUAAAUAUUUUAAUUUUAUUAAAAAUCAAAGAAACUCAGGAUUAAAUUUAGUCGUGGAGGGAAAAAAUUAGGUGUCAACAACAACAACAACAACAUACCUGGUGUAAUUUCACAGGUUGAGCCUGGGAAGGCUGAUGCGUGCGCAACGUUACCCUUAUGUUGUGAAGGCAGAUAGGUUGUUUCUGAUAGUCCCUCGACUCAGCUGAAGCAUAUAGAAAGUAAAUGUAGAAAACAACACUCAACUACCUACUAACAUUCUACCUUACUCUCGGCCUCCAUAUCCGCAUAUCUAAGGUCAUCGGUAUGCUGUAUGUGGUGUUUUGAUAAAUAAUUAGGGAUAGUUUAGAUAUGAAAAAUAAACACUUUAUAUUUCAGGCAGGAAACUCGCAAAAACGGGAUACUUCAAAUAUAUUUGUUAGUGUUGUUCAUUGCAAGAAUUGAAAAACUGCAUAAUACAUAAACACAUACUCAAACUUGGCCUCAAUUGUCAAUAACUCCAAUUUUGUGAGUAUGCACAUCUAGACACGUCAACUAUCUCAAUCUGCGACUAAACACUACAACUCGUUUCCACUGUGUCUCAUGGACACCUGAUGGUGACUUGCCACGAAAAUUUUGGGGGGUAUAAGAUCAAAUUAUAAUAGAAUAUUCAACUGACAUAAUGGAUAUGAGUUGAAGUGUUGGACGUAACUACACUAAACACCUAUAUAAUAUGACUCGAUUGCAAAUAGAUCUCAUAUAUUUUAAAAUCAAAUAGUUACACCCCUUAUGUUUUUUUCCAUUGGUUAAUGAAUUUUCCUAUAAGAAUUAUUUUGUAAUUUUAACCUAUAUAAUAUGACAUGAUCUUAGAUAGGAUAUCAUUUGAAGGUUGUGUAUUAAAAAAUAAAAGAUUAGUUGAUAGUUGAGCAUUCUCUCGAUUGCCUGCAUGAUAGGCUUCACGGAUGUUUGUAGACACGUAAUUUUGUCCCUCCGAAAAAAUUAGUAUUCACCUUUUUACCUUAUUAGCGGCGGUGAAAAGACGAUAGUAGACCAGACGGGAGCACCACCAGAACACCCGAACAAGGAUCUAUUUUCUUUUGAAGCUAUAGUACAUAUGCACUUUAUACGUCUGUCUUACUAAUAAUAUUCCUUAGCGUACAUCUGUACUAUAACCCUCCCCUCUGGGAGGUGUUUUCAAGGGAAGGCGGACUCCGCAGCUGCGGACCGGGCACUAUCACUAUACUAUGUGAUGCUUUUAACCAAAAAAAUGGAAACGAAACGUCUUAGUGUUGUUCCUAGGUUGGGGGUCGGGGGCAAGCCUUCAAGACACGACUUCAAGCUGUUAGUACGACUAGCAGGCUUCCUAGCUCGAGUGAAUGCCGCAACGCAAUAAGGCGAGAGUUUAGUUGCGCUACCCUUAACCAUGUAAUUAUCUCUUCAUAAAAUAACAAAAAUAACAACCCCUAACAAUUUUUACCUUAUUUUUAAUUUAUCCUAACAAACUUUAUCCUAAUCACCUACUCCUAACAAUCUACCUCACCAUCCCACACUCCCUCAUCACUACCCACGUGACCCCACCCAAUUCCCCUGACUUUGUUUCUAUUUUUUUAGUCCAUAACAGAGGACAAGAGAAAAAGGAAAAAGGAAGGGGUACCCACAAAAAAAAAAAAAAAGGAAAAACAUUCUUGGUCCUCCAUUUGAAUACACAUAUGCGCCCACUCACUUCUUUUAUUUUUAAUUUUAUUAUUUCUUUUAUAUAUCACAAAAGAGGGGCCCACCUCACAUACAGACUCUACAGGCAUAUGCUCCUCAUAUUCCUCCAUGGGAGUAGAAGAUUCUGAGACCUUCAGUCACAGAUAACACUCGUCAAUACACACGAAAAAUCACUCAUAAAUCACGCAUAUUCUGAGAACAUAAACGGAGAGAAAUUGGAGAAAGGCGUCGAGUUUUCCGGCAACUGUUUUUGCCGAAAUCAGUCACCCGUAAUUCGUCCCUCUCGACGUCAAAAAUCCAACCCAGCGACCCAGCUAGCCGAAAUCGGCCUAUUUAAGCUGAUUUCGGCGUCAUUUGAGUAGCUCUGGCGACGGGUCCAUCGAAAAAAUGAUGCCACUGAAUUUGCAUCUUGUUGCUUCGGUUUGCUCGUAUUCUUGUGAGUCUGUCUUUGAAUCAAAUUUUAGGAUUGUGGUUUUCGGUAUCGGGUUGAGUUGGUUUGGUUGUUGUUGAGGUACGACUCGAGUUUUCAAACGCGGUUCUAUCCUCAACAUAUUGAAAUCCAAACUCUCUCUUUUCGCUUUAUUUUGAUUUGCUGCAUUGAUGUUCUGAUUAUGUGUUGUUGGGUUGUGAUUGGAUGAUUUUGUUGAUGGUCGAUAUUGUUUAUCCGUGAAUAAUUAAUCAUGGCAUGAAUUUGAUGUUUAUGUGAAAAAGUGACGUAUAAAAGGAAAUUUGGGUUGCAAUUGAAAAAUUGAUAAAAAGGGUGAAUUUAGAUUAAUUUUGGUUUAUUUUUAUCUUUGUUUAAUUCGGAAUAAGCAUGAAUAUUAUUGAAAUGCGAUAAUAUCAUGAUGGGUCAAACGGGGUAGGCAAACAGUAGGCUUGGAUAGGCAAAAUCUAGAAUUUAUGGAUUGUUGAGUAAUGUGGAAUGUUUGUUGAAUAAUUCACUUUUUCUCGCAUUUAGAAAUGUAUUCAUUUAGCCGGGGAAUGGCCUGAGGUCACUUGUACUUAUUUAUCGGGGAAUGCCUCGACGUAUCAUGUAUGCAAAGGAUGUUCGUGAUGAAGGCCCGAGGCAUCGGGUAAAGCAUUGGAGUGUAGUUUAGGAUUAGGGUAGGCUUACUUUUCAGUACGUUUUUAUUUUUGGACUGUAUAAAUUGGACUAGACACUAUAUUUUGAUUCGUUCUGUUUUGUUUGUUUGUUUGAUUGUUACGUGUUUUGUGUGGUUUGUACAUUCGUAGUGUCAAAAUUAGCCAAUAUGCUCCACCAAGCGAUCGUGGUCGAACCACGGGAUCGAGGGGUGCCUAACACCUUUUCCUCGGUCAACAAAAUUCCUUUGUCGGAAUCUCUGUUCGCAAAUCAGUCUUAAAGUGUCAAAUUAUCUUGAAAAGGAUUUUUCAAAGGUGACUUGGCACACCGGAUUAUGCCAAGUGGCGACUCUGAAUAAAAAAUGUAAUUAAUCCUUUUUCGAAACAAACUUUCAUCUUUUGUCACUUUAAUAAAAAACUCUUUUUAAACUUAAAAUCUGAAUCCUUUUGGUUGUAAAAAAGGGGUGUGACAGCUCUGGCGACUCUGCUGGGGACCUUUAUCAGAAUUCGAGUUUAUUUGUUGGAGUCGUAUCGGCUUAAUUAUGCACUAUAGGUGUAUAUACAUUUUGUUUGUGAUUAUUGUUUGUGUUAUUGUUGUUGUGCGUUUUUGUGCUCUUUGUUUACAGUUUUUAUUUAUGUGUUACUGCUUAAUAUCUGGCAUCAUGUGCAUAAAUCGAGUCAUUUUUUCUGCAACAAGUCUGUAGUACAUGCUGUGUACAUGACCUAUAGUUGAGUCACUCUUAUCUUAGGGGGAAGCCGUUGGCUGGUAUGGAGUAGGUGGAUAGCUAAAACAGCCAUUAUCGACCAUACGCUCCCCCGAACAGCCUUGUUAGUGAAUCUCAGCGUAGGUCAGCCUUUAGGUCAUACUUAUGUGCAUCAUAUUGAGACCUAGUGGGGCCCAUUUGGUCCUUUAUAGGAGACUCACAUCUACCGCAUUCCUACGUGCUAAAUGUUGCAUCUUUGAGGGUAAUGGGGUCAUUUGACGGACUGAUUUGGGGAAAACAUGUGUUAAAAAUAAAGUGUGUAGGCAAUGAAAAAAGUGACCCGCUACUUCAUCACCCUAUUCCUUAGGCGGGCUCCUGACUUGCAAUUUCUUCAACUUGUUGCUUUCCUUUCAAUUUCUUCACCCUGUUUUUCAGGCGGGUUCCUGACUUGCCAUUUUUUAACUAUUGACUUUUAAUUUUCUUCCUCGUGUUGCUUGCUUUUCAACUGCUUCACCUUGUUGCUUGACUUUCAACUUCUUCAUCUUGUUGUUUGACUUUGAUUAUUUGCCCUGUUCUUCAGGCGGGCUCCUGAAAUCACAUCAAAACUAAAAAGAAAAUUAUCCCAAACAUAGAAAUGGAUCUUCUAUGAGUUAAUUGGAAUGAUUCGACUAAAAGGUAUGUCUUAUAAGAAUCAAAGGGAAUGACUCGACUAAAAGGUACAUCUAAUAGGAAUCAAAAGGAAUGACUCGACUAAAAGGUACGUCUAAUAGGAAUCAAAAGGGAUGACUCGACUAAAAGGUAUGUAUUAUAGGAAUCAAAGGGAAUGACUCGACUAAAAGAUACGUCUUCUAAGAAUCAAAGGGAAUGACUCGACUAAAAGAUACGUCUUCUAAGAAUCAAAGGGAAUGACUCGACUAAAAGAUACGUCUUAUAGGAAUCAAAGAAAAUGACUCGACUAAAAGGUACGUCUUAUAGGAAUCAAAGGGGACGACUCGACUAAAAGGUAUGCCUUAUAGGAAUCCAAAGGGGAUGACUCGACUAAAAGGUACGUCUUAUAGGAAUCAAAAGAGGAUGACUCGACUAAAGCAUAUGUCUUCUAUGAAUCAAAGGAAAUAACUCGACUAAAAGGAACGUCUUAUAGGAAUUAAAGGGAAUGACUCAACUAAAAGGUACGUCUUAUAGGAAUCAAAGGGGAUGACUCAACUAAAAAGUACGUCUUAUAGGAAUCAAAGGGGAUGACUCGACUAAAACGUACGUCUUUUAAGAAUCAAAGGGAAUGACUUGACUAAAAGGUAUGUAUUAUAGGAAUCAAAGGGAAUGACUCGACUAAAAGUUAUGCCUUAUAGGAAUCAAAGGGGAUGACUCAACUAAAAGGUACGUCUUAUAGAAAUCAAAGGGGACGACUCGAUUAAAAGGUACAUCUUAUAGGAAUCAAAAGGGGAUGACUCGACUAAAACGUACAUCUUAUAGGAAUCAAAAGGGGAUGACUCGACUAAAACGUACGUCUUCUAAGAAUCAAAGGGAAUGAAUCGACUAGAAGGUAUGUUUCCUAGGAGUGAAGGUUCAAUUUAAGAAGUGUAUCACCUAGCAAAUGAAAAUUAAAAUCCCUGGACAAGUGUGUCUUCGAGGGAUAUAGGAUGAUGAAUUUUACCAUGAUUUUAUUAUCAAACCUGUGCAGCAACAUUGCUUCCUGCAUUUGUAAAAGUGAGGCAUUGCAGCCCUUGAUGUUUAUGUUCUGAAGUCCUUGCUUUGAAGAUAAUAUGUUUCCUGUUUCAUCAAAGAAAACUUAUGAGUUUAAAAUAUGGUGGCUGGUUUGUAGUUUUAGCUUUCGAGGCGAUCGCUCUUGCCUUUGUCACAUUUAACCUUGCUUCCAACCAUUAGCCUAUGUCAUUGACUUGCUGCUUCAUUGACCAAACUCCAAUUUAUUAAUAGUUACUAUGAAACAAACACAGUAUCUCUGCUUUUCCAUGCUCCUCAGAUAAACCCUUUGAACCUUGGUAUCUCCAUGAGUUUCCAGACUUGUCUGCUGACAAAACUUUUUGCAUGCCUUACUUCAGCUCACAAUCAUGUCUCUUUCAUGUGUUGGCCUUUUUUCUUGCUUUGUGCAAUUGAAGAAGCUGGUAGCCAAUUUUGAAAUCUUUUCUCACUUGUUUUGACAUGGACUUGACUCAAAGACAAGAGAAAAAUGACAAUGAUUUUUAUUUGGAUAACUAAAUGAAGAAAAUAAAAUAAAAAUAAAAAUAGAGGAAAGAAAAGGCAAUGAAUGUCCCCAUUUGAAACAAAGAAAAGAAAAAUUUAUCUAUAAAUGACAGUCAACUCUAAUGAUUAUGCCAUGCAUUUUGGAUUAAGCUGUCUGAUCUUCCCAUCCAAACCUUCUACUAAUUGUUCUUGAGUUAAUGGCCCUGAAACUGAGGUACUUCCUUGGACCCAUUGCAUUCAGAGACCUCAUUCAGCCAAUAGUGCCUUGAAAGGUUCUUUGACAACAAGCCUCUCUCAUUUCUUUCUCUCAGCUCACCAUCGCCUUAUGGUGUCCGUAAGGGUUUUCCACUAAUGAAACUCUCUUAUCUUCGUUUCCCUUAACUCACAGUUGUCUUACGGUGCCCGUGAGAGUUUUCACGGAUAAGAUUCACAUUUUUAUCUCUCUCAACUUACUAUCGUCUAACGGUGACCGUGAGGGUUUUCACCAAUAAGACUUUCUCAUUUUAUUUCUCUCCUGAUUUCUUAUGCCGAAGAAUACAAGUAGCUCCCAAAUGCAUCAUCAUAUCCCUUGCAUGCUUAGCUUUAACAUCCUCAAAUAUUGAUCUAAAGGUCUUUUUUUGGUUGUAACUUGACUUUUGGAUAGGGUUAGAAAGAAAGGAUGACAUGAGGCUUAAACGACACUUGAAGUGGGGUAGGACUUACAACUUUUGGAAUCGAGUUAAACACUGAGGAUUAAAUCUUGCCCCAAUUUCUUUUAACUGAGAAAUUCUAAAUUAUUUGGUUGGACCGAGUCCCGGGUAGGGAAGCCUACGUAUCUCACCCUCAAAAGAGGAGAAUCAGGUCACGCGUAGUUCUGACAGCUUGUUUUGCUUGAUUCUAAAUUCUUUUUGUUUUAUGUUUCUUUUAUUGACUCUUUCUCUUUGAGAAUUUUCUAACUCUAUUUAUCUUGACACUCUUUUUUUUACACAAUUUUUUCUCUUUUUUUUUUUUUAAAAAACUUUUCUGACUCUAGUCUUUUACUCGAUACCUUUUUUUUUUUUAGUUUUGCUGACUAUAUCUUGAUUCCAAAAGUGGUGUAUGAAAGAAAAUUAAACUAAGGCUCAAAUGUGGUAAACAAAGGAUGGCACAAUGUUUAGAUAGCUGAGUGAAAUGUCUUCAUCAUAUCAAUCCUUGAAAAUGCAAGUACAUACCAUGCAAUAUGAAAGUGAGAGAUGAAGAUCAUUUGUGAAAUAUUUUUAAGCAUUAACUUUGAUUGGGUCUGUGCGUUACUUCUUCUGAAAAUUCCAACUUUGUUGUACAUUCCUCACAUUGAAUGACUCAUACUUUCGUGGAGCUGAUUUUCUUUCUGUUCAUGCAGCCACUAUUUGGCCUAAUUGAGCCAUGUCUUUCAAUUGAUGAUCAAGUUAUUCUUGUGAUUCUCAAAAUAAUUGCCUUAAUUUUCCAAGAAGGCUUGAACUUAUCCCCAAAUGUCUCAGCACUCUACCUAUUUUCUCAGAUACUCUUUUUUUCUAACUUUAACCCUCUGAUUCAAUGUUCAUGCUUAAACUGGAUUUUAAGAUCUGACUGAAAAUUCUGUUAGCAUGUUAUAUCACUAGAGUCAACAUAAAAUAUACUAUGUAAAGAAAACAAACAAACAACACAUAUUUAAAACACAAGGAAUAAGGGGACACUCCAUUCAAUUAAAAUGAAAGAUAGAAGGGUUUGAACAUAACGACAAAGGGACAAAACAAGAUAGAUACCGAACUAUAAUCCUGAAAUAAUUCGAAUAACAGAAAAGAAAACAGAACAAACUACCAGACCUCCUCCUAGUAGGGAGAGGGGUGACUUCUCAAUUGCUCAGCCUGACAACUUAGCCACUGAUUUUCAUAUCAGCAUGACUAGAGCUUUCCUCACUGUUGACACCUAAUUUUGGCCCUCCACGACUAAAUUUAAUCCUGAGUUUCUUUAAUUUUUAAUAAAAUUAAAAUAUUUAUUUCAUUCAAAUAAAAAUUUAUUAAAUAUAUUUGUACGUAAUUUUUUUUUAAUUUUAAGUAGUUAUUAUAAUUUAUCGUAUUCAAUUAUACAAGAUUUUAUAAUUUUGUUACUUUAAUAUUUAUUUUUUAAAAUAUCGGAUUUUAAUCAAGGCUUAUAGAUUCAAAUGAUUAAAGUUUUGAUUUAAAUAUAAUUUGCUCUCAAAAAAUAAUUUAUUCGGAUAAAUAUGUGUUUGAUUUUAUAAAAUCAAGAAGCCCGGGAUUAAAGGAAGUAUUAAUUCACAUCGAAUUUCAAUUUAAUUUAGCCAAUCUAUUAGAUUUGGCCAUUAUUGAAAUCAAAUUGGCCAUAAUUGUAAUGCAAUCCAUCAAUUGAUUUGUAAUUUGGUCAAAAUUAAAUAAAUAUGGCUAAAUUUUAUAAUCCCAAUUGAGGUUAUAUUUUAAAUAACCCCAAAAUUCCCCAAAACUCUCUUAACUUCUACCUAAUUCCACAAAAAAAUAAUUUCAGAUUGUACUACUUUGUACUAUUCCCCCCAACUGUCUUUUCCCAAUUUUGAAAUUCAAAAGUUGUACUACAUUGUACAAUUUUACCCCACAUUAUCUACCACCUCAUCUUAUCUUCAAUUUUAAAAUUUUAAAAACACCCUUAAUUGCUUUUUCUCCUACAUUGGUGGAGGAGAAGAAAAAAAUUCUCAUUCUCUCCUAUAAAUGCUACCACUACUUUGGUAAAAAAGGGGGAAAAGGAAGGAAAAAAAAAAAAGCUAGAAAGGUGAAGAAAUCCUUUUUGAUCAAAAUAGUUAUUUUUAUUUAGUAAAAAAUUUUUUUUCAUAGAGUUGGUCGGCUAAUAAAAAAUUUCAAGUUGCCAGCGAUGUUUUUUUGGUGGUGGUUGAUUCCGACGAAGCUCGUAAUCUCGUUUUACUGCCCCCAAAAAGGUAAACACAUCUCUUUUUUUUUUUUAGUUUUUAUUAUCAUUUUCUUCUUCAUCUUUUUUCUUCUUCAUAGUUCGUAGAUAUAAUUUUGUUUGCUGGGAUUGUAUGUUGUAGAUGACCUUAAAGGCCCUAGGACGUUGUGGUAUCGAUAUUCUAAUUAUUUUCAUGUUCAUGAUAUAAAAAUGAGCAAACAAUAGUUGUAUGUAUCUUUUUUUUUUACUUUAUUCUUUGAUUAUUUUGGAUAAAGUUUAGAUCUUUACUUGGAAAGUCAUACGCAUAUCUUGUUUAAACUCAUUAUUGUUGAAUAUGUUUAUUUUUAGCAUGUAAAGUUAUUUUCUUUAUGUUGAAAAAAAUAGUUAAUAUGAUUGUUUUGGCUUUUGGCCUUAUUCUUUGAUUAUUUUGGAUAAAGUUUAGAUCUUUACUUGGAAAGUCAUACGCAUAUCUUGUUUAAACUCAUUAUUGUUGAAUAUGUUUAUUUUUAGCAUGUAAAGUUAUUUUCUUUAUGUUGAAAAAAAUAGUUAAUAUGAUUGUUUUGGCUUUUGGCCUUAUUCUUUGAUUAUUUUGGAUAAAGUUUAGAUCUUUACUUGGAAAGUCAUACGCAUAUCUUGUUUAAACUCAUUGUUGGUAGAUAUGUUUGUUUCUAGCAUGUAAAGUUAUUUUCUUUAUAUUGAAAAGAAUGGUUAAUAUUGAUUGUUUUGCCUUUUGACUUUAUUCUUUGAUUGUCAUGUAUAAAGUUUUGAUCUUUUCUCGAAAGAUAAACUCAUGUCUUGUUUAAAUUUAUUGAUGUCGGAUAUGUUUGUUUUAGCUGUAAAGUUGUUUCUUUUAUGUUGAAAAAAUAGUUACUAUUGAUUGUUUCGCCUUAAUAAAAAUAGUAAUUGAUUAAAUCAAGAAUUUUUCAUUUACUUGUUAAUUAUUUUAAGGGAUCUCCAAAAUCUUCAUAUAAGAGAUGAAGUGCUAGCUUUAUUUUUCAUCCACAAUGUUUAUUCCUCUUUUUCGCAUGUUUUCAAAUUUGUCAAAAUGAUGAGAAAGUUCGAAUUUUUGUGGCUAAAUAGAAUUAUUUAGAUAUUUUCGAGUCAUGCAUAGUAUGAUUGUGAAACAAUAUUUCACUUUUAGAAAUGCUAAACUUUAUUCUAAUUUUCUUAGGCCUUUUGGAUUGUUAUAUUUGCUCUUUGUGAGUGUAAAAACUUGAUCCGUGCCUCUCAUUGAUUCAUAAUAUCAAAGGAGAAUCAACGAUGUCUUAGAAAUAUAAAUCAUAGGUCAUUACACAUUUUUUUCAUAAAAUUUUGGUUGUAAUUUAGAUGUAUGAAUUUUUGUUAAUGUCACCUUAAUUGAAAUAUAAAGAUUCUCUUGCUUGAAAAGUUAACCUUUAUUUUCUUUUGUUAUAUGAAUUAGUAUCUAUGUUUGUUCAAUUUUAGAAGUCAUGAGUAUUUUCCUUGUUGCCUCAUCCCUUUACUUUCGCAAGCUUACGUUGUUUGUUUCUUGCAUUAGUUCAUUGAAUAUGGCCUUCUUCCUUUUACCGUAAUUCAUUCUUGUAUGAACAUAAAUCAUGAGGCAUGUACGUGGGUGUCUUUGCUUUGCAUUUUAUUUGUUGACUCUCAUUCUUGUGCAAGUGUGCUUAUCAUUGUCAUUCAAAAUUGAUUCUUGAUAUUUUCUUUUGCUUUGAAAUAUGUCACUUUUAUGCUUUGAACGUAUAUUAAUUUCUUUAUCUUUUCUUUGCAUGCAAAAAAAAUGUCUCGAGUCCAAAUGGAUUCCUCUCCUCUUGCAUUUCGUAAUGGGCCAAUGAGAUCUACCCCUUCAAGUCAAGUUUGAAGUUUAAACCCGAGGUUCACUAGAUGAUGUGCGGGUGCUAGAAGAUAGACGAAGAAGGAAAAUGGGUCAAAACCCAUUGAUGAGGUCAUUAAGAGGCUUGAAAAGUCUCAAUUUUUAUUAUUGUCUUCUUUUUAUUUAUUUAUUUAGUCAUUUAUUUAUUCAUUCAUUUCGGCCUCGUAGCCAAAGUUGUAUUUAAUAUAUGUAGAGAAAGACUCGAUCCAAAGGCUCGAAAAAUAGUUUAGGAUAGGUGAAAUGGGUUGGAAGCCCAACUCGACUAGGACAGGUCUCGUUGAUUUGGACUCAAUGGCCUAAAUCCUUUACUUUCUCCUCCCUUCCCCUUUUAUGUGUUUAUUUGUUUAUUAGUUUUGUUUAGACUUAGUUAAAAUCCCUACUAAGUCGCCUAAAUCUAUUUUACACAAGUCUUUUUUUUAGGACAGGUGAAAGAAUGGGUCAAAAACACACUAGAUUAGGACAGGGUUGACGGUUUGGGCUUAAAAGCCUAAAUUACUACUUCUCCCCUUUUCCUUUUUUCUAUUUUCUUACUUGCUUUAUGUGUGCUUGGCGAAUCUAGUUAAAUCCUUAGUUAAGUCGCUAAAAAACUAGUUUUGCAUAAACACCAAAAUAUUCCUAAACUCGCUUUUCUUUUCAAAAAAAAAAACUUUUUUCAAAGUUAAUCAAAAGACUAUUUUCAAACAGUCCGGAUAACUGCAAGUUAACAGACGUUUUAGGUGCCUAACACCUUCCUAAAACGUUAAUAGGAACCUCUUAUCUAGAAUCUCUAACUUAAAAUGAUUUUUCUGUUUUGAAUCGUUUGAAGUAACUCUUUAAAGGUUUCUUAAUUCCUUUUCAAAAUUAAGUGACGACUCUUCUCAAAAAGUCAAAAUUUCUUCGCAAAACACUCACUAUCAAUGUUCUGCACCAUAAUUGAUCCAUCUUGAAUCGUCUUUUCAAUUUCUCUUUUCAAAUCUCGACAAUCUUCAAUACUAUGACCCUGAGCAUUAGAAUGAUAUGCACGAGCAUUAGGAUCAAAAUUUUUUGAACGCCAAUUAAGGGUGUGCCCAAAGAGAGGAAUGAUCAUAACCUCUUGUACCAAUCUCUGAAAUAAACUGGCAUAUGACUCUCCAAUUGGUGUGAAGCUAUCUCUUGACUUCUGCCUCAUUUCAUCAUUUGGCUUGGAUCGAAAAUCAGGCUUAGAAGGGUUUUGGUAUGUUUGUGGAGUUAGAGGACGACUCUGGGGCAUUGGGGUAUGCCAUUGUGGGUAAACUGAGGGUUUAACAUGUGGUUGUGCAUUAUACACUAGAUAUGGAUGUGGAGAAAUAGAGUAUAAUGGAUUUUGGGAAUGAUUAUGUAGAGCUUGGGCAUAAACUUGAGUUUGAGCCUGAGAGCGACGACGACGUGGUCUUCUUGACCUUUCCUGCUGUCCAACUGCAAUAGCAGAUGCAUCUUCCUCAUUUUUUCUCCCCAACACUCGCUGAACCCUUUUGAAUUGCUUGAGUAGUCGCUUUCAAUGUUGCAAAACUCACAAUGCAAUCAGUCUUAAUUCCCACUUCUAUUAUCUCCCCCAUUUUAAGGACCUCAAUAAAUGACUUGCCUAAUGCAGGUAUCAAAUGUUGAUAAUAUAUUUCAUCCUGCGCUUGAAUAAAAACCUCCACUAUUUUUCUUUCUUUCAUUGGCAGUUUUACUCUAGCAUAUUGUUCGCGCCAUCUGAUCGCAUACUCCCUGAAACUCUCAGUAUUCUUCUUUUUUUAUACUAGUUAGGGAUUUUUCGUCAGGGAUCAACUCCACAUUGUAUUGAAAUUGGUGCACAAAUUCAUUAGCUAGGUCAUCCCAAUUAAUCCACUUGUCAAUGUCUUGGUCAACAAACCAUUUCNNNNNNNNNNNNNNNNNNNNNNNNNNNNNNNNNNNNNNNNNNNNNNNNNNNNNNNNUUUCUCAAACUUUGGCAUUUUAAAGCCAGGAGGAAGGUUGACACCUGGAAACAUGCAUAAGUCCUUAUAUGAGACACUUUUGUAACCCCCAAGUCCUUGCAAGUUCUUCAUAGCCAGUUCCAAACUUCUCAAUUUUCUGGUCAUUUCUUCUUGUUCUUCUGUCAUAACAGGCUUCUCAGUGUUAGGAGGAAAUUCAGGCGGGUGAGUGUCACCGUAAAGACCAGUCAACUUGAAUAUAGGCUUGAAAGUGUAACGCUGAUCACCAGUAAUAUUCAAGGUAGGAUCUCUUGUAGAGUAGGGAGGCACAACUUAUGGAUGAACAUAAAAAAUAGGAGCUUCAGGUGGGGGUGGCAUCGCAAAAGCAUGAAUAGCAGGUGGAGCCGAGUAUAUGGUAGUCUUGGAUUGGGGAGUGAGGAAAUGAACAUUGGAAGUGGUUGGAGAUUGUUACUCCGGAGUCGAUCCUGAUGCAUAUUGUGGCAUAUCAACAAAAAUGGAAAAUUGUGCAUGUGCACGGGAGGCAAGCUAGAAAGAUAUUCCAUAUUAUCACUGGAACUGGAGGAGGCGGCAACCCAUUAGCCCAAGCUCGAUGUAUUUUUAUCAUUUGCUGCCUUAAUUUUCGAAUAUCUUCAUUAGCUCCUAAAUUCUCAUUUUCCGAACUCCCUAUCUGAUUAGUGACAACAAACUCGGUAUCCUUGUUAGCCAUAACCUUCUUUGUGACUUGGAUAAAUAUGGAGGACCAGCCAAAAUGCCACAAACCAACCACCUCAAACUAACUGAACAAGAGAUAACAAAUGCGUUAGAGUUCAACACUUUCUCAAAAUCUCUCUUUUUUUCUUUUUGAAAAGGUCAUUGAACCCAAGAAGGGCACCUACGUAUCUCACCUCCAAGAGAGGAGAAUCAGGUGUGCAUAGUUCGUGAAGUCUUGCCAAAAUGGACAAAUAAACUCUUUUUUUUUCUUAAAAUUUUAAGAAGAAAAGAAAAAUGACAAAUUGUCAAAAGAAUAAGCGAAAAUCUUUUUUUGAAAGAUUUAAUAACCUAUACAAAAUGAAACCUAUGAUUACCAAAGAAACUCUUUUUUGGGUUUUUAAUUUCGCAUUUCAUAUGAAAAUGAAACUUGAACCUAUUAAGGAAAAAUCUUUUUGUAGUUUUCUUUUAUUGAUGCAUAGACACCUACUAUAAAUGAAGAGUGAAGAAAAAUAUUUUUUGAAUUUUUUUUCAAAUAAGAUCCCCGAACCAAUAAUAGAUUGCCUACGUAUCUCACUCUCGAGAGAGGAGAAUCAGGGGUGCGUAGUUCCUCCAAAUUGGACAAUUUAGGAUUAAAUAACUGACUGAACCCUGACUUGAGAGACGUGACCACAAACAGAGAAUGAAAAACAUCAAUAAACUUUUUUUGAGUUUUCAAAUUGUGAAUGCUUUCUAAAGGAAACAAAAGGAAAAUCUUUUUGAUGUUUUUGAUUUUUGAAAAAUGAGUGUAAAAAGUAAAAAAAAAAAAACUUUUUUUUUUGAAUUCUGAAUUGUGGAAAACAAAAGCCAUUAAGAACCUUAAAAACUACGAAACAUUUUUUUUGAUUCACCCUUUCUCUUUUUUCCCUUUUUUUUUUUUAAUUUUUCCAUGACUACACACCUUUCUUUAAUUCUAGCACAUGCUUUCCCUAAAUCAGUCCGUCAAAUGACUCUGUUGUCCUCAAAGAUGCAACAAUUAGCACGUAAGGAUGCUUUAGGGGUGAUUUUCCUACAAAGGACCAAGUGAGUCCCGCUAGGUCUCAGUAUGAUGCAAAUAAGCAUGACCUAAAGGCUGACCUAUGUUAGGGUCAACUAACAAGGCUGGUCCGGGGAGCGUAUGGUCGAUAGUGGCUGUGACAGCUUUCCACCCACUCCAUACAUCUGACGGCUCCCCCUCCUAAAAUAAGGCUGAUUCAACUAGAGUUCGUGCACACGACGUGCACUCCGAGACUUAUUGCAGAAAGAAUUGACUUGGGUUAUGCUAAUGAUGACAGAUAUAAAGCAGUAACACAAAGAAAAACUGUAAACAAAGAGCACGUAGGCGCACAACAGUGAUAAAAUAAUAACACAAACGAUGUUUAUACACCCAUAAUGUCAAACAAAGCCGAUAAAACUCCAAAAAAUAAGCUCUAAUUCUGAAAGUGAUCCGCAGGAGAGUCACCAGAGCUGUCACACCCCUUUUUUAACUCCAAAAAAAAAUAAUUUUAAGUUUGAAAGGGUUUUCAUUAUUAAAGUGACAAAAGAUUGAAAAUUUUCAAAAAAAAAUUAUUUACAUUUUUUAUUCUGAAUCGGCACUUGACAUAAAUCGGGUGUGCCAAGUCACCUUUGGAAAUCCUUUUCAAAACAAAUUUGACUCUUUUAAACUGAUCCGCGAACAGAGAUUCCGGCUAAGAAAUUCUGUUGACCGAUGGGAAGGUGUUAGGCACCCUUCAAUCCUGUGGUUCGACCAUGGUCGCUUGGUGGAGCAUAUCGGCUAAUUUGACACUACGAAUGUAUAAACCACACAAAACACAUAAAACAAUCAAUCAAACAAACAAAACAAAAGAAUCCAAAAAUAUAGUGUCCAGUCCAAUUAUUACAACCCGAAAUAAAAAGGUACUGAAAAAGUAAACCUACAGUAAUCCUAAACUACGCUCCAAUGCUUUACCCGAUGUUUCUGGCCUUGAUCACGAACAUCUUCCGCCAAUAUAAUACGUCGAGGCAUUCCCCGGUGAAUAAAUACAAUGAGCCUCAGGGCUUUCCCCGGCUAAAUGAAUACAUUUGAUGAAGUACGAUAAAAACAAACCAUUCCACAAACAUUUCAAAUCAUUCAACCAUACACAAUUCCUAUUUUUGCCUACCCAACUUAGAAUUUUUCUAUUCCAUCUCGACCUAAAAUAUGAUAAUAUCAAUUUCGAUUAACGUUCGUUUCAAGUCAAACAACAAUCCAAGAAUCAAAUCAACCAAAAUUCACCUUUUUAUCAAGUUUCAACGCGGAAUCUAAUAUCAACAACAUAGAUAUAACGGCAAUUAAAGAAUGGUAAUCAUACAAAUCUCACAUUAAUGACAUCAAACACCCACCAAAUCAUCCAAUCUCAAACAUAGCCAACUCAACAAAUUACGAUAAAGAAGAGAGAACGGGUUACAGAAAUGGACCUUUUGAUAAUCAAUUUCGAUUGAUAACAAUAUUAAAGAAGCCCUGAAUUUGGAAUUCCCUAAUAGAAAACCUCAAUAGCAACACGGUCCAACUUGAUAUCACGAAUAGCAACUCGGACAGAUUUAGCCCAAGAAUGAAGAAAUAUCCAAAGAAAACUGAGAUUGAAACUGUGAAGAAAACCCAAAAAGAAACUCGUAUAGCUGACCAACCAAAUUAGAUGAGAAAAAAAGCUAAAAUUCAAGUGGCCGGAGCUACAACGAACUCAGCGGCAUCAAGAACAAUGAAAAAUGGAUCGGAUUCCGGUGAUAUGCCGUCGGAUUCACUGUUUUGAGCAAUUCUCGACUGAUUUUAGUCCAUCGUUUGCUCUUUUACUCCUCAAACUGUGGGGAUCGAUCUUUUUUUUUUCCUAAUCGCAACUCUCUCUUGAUUCACUCUCUUUUUUCCUCUUUUCUUUUCAGUUUUUGUGUGUGUGUGCUCGUGAUGAAUAAAAGAAAGAAGGGAGUUUGUGUUCUUCCCUGGUUAGGACGAGCGUGUUCGAUUUUGUGGUGUGAAGAAGAUGACCCAAUAGAGGAAUAUAUGUGUGUUCUCUCACUGUAUCUGCGUGUGGAAUGGAAAAAGCAAAGGAAAAAAAUCCUCCCUAAAGAAUUGUGUGCCUUUUUGCUUGUGCCCGCCCUCCCCCCCUCCCCUCCUAUUUUCUCCCUUUUCAAUUAAAAAGCCCAAAAAAUAAAAUUCUUUUUUCUGUUGUUGUAUUAUCCAUUGUAUGGAAUCCGAUGGUGGGUGGAAUAGCGGAGUAUGUAGGGUUAGGGGUUAGGUGGGGUAGGGGGUGAGGUAGGUGGUUAGGAUAAGGUAGAGGGUGUUGAGAUUCAAUUGGUUGAGUGGUUAGUUUGUUAUUUUUUUUUAUUUUUGUGGGAUAUAAUUACACGGGUGAGGACACGCAGUAAGAUGAGGGUAAAAAUGAUAAAAAUAUUUUUGGGGAGGGACAAAAUUACGUGUCUACGGGGUAAAUCAGAAACCUACUGGGGCACGUAUUUCUGGGGAAUGAGACCUUGGAACCAAAACGACUUGGUGCUAAAUACUACUCCCUUACUUAGAUCAAAACUUUAAAGAAAAUCCACCUUAAACAAUUCAACAAUAUGCAAUGUGAGCCAAUAUGCUUCCCUUUAACUUAAAUCAACAUGAUGUGGAUUUCUUUCUUAACUUAAGAUAAAAACUCAAUAUUUUCUUGAAAUCUUGAUAGGCUUAUCAUCAUUAAACUUUAAAAUUCCAAUAACAAGGAGAUAUAAAAACAAUUCUUGAAACACGUUAAGGAGUAUCAUAAAUUCAUUCUCAAAGAAUCAUAAUUCCUCAAUAAGGCUCAAUUCAUGACAACAAAUCUUGGAAAAUCUUGGAAAUAUGAUAUCAACACAAGAGUGUGCAAUUUAUAACAUGAGAUAUCAACUCAAAUCAUACUUAAACAAGAAAAUCAUGCAAAUCAAGGCUUGAACAAGUCAUAAUCUCAUAAAUUCAAAAUAUAUCAAACUAGUCAUGAAUUCAUCUUAAAAAUACGAAAUUCUUUAAGAAAAAUUAAAACUUUGGACAUAAGAAAGAAAGGAUGUUCUUGUUCAAACCCCACAUACCUUAAAAUUGAAGCUUUGGAUGAACUCAUGUCUUAGGGACUCUAUUCUCAAAAAAUGUUGGGUGCUUCUUGUAGCCCUCGGAAAGGAGAAUCUGAAUCUUGAAAAAUCAACGAAAACCUACGGUUGAAUCUUAAGAUACUUGGAUCUUUAGGUUGAAACCCUAGCAAGAGUUCUUGAGGAAAUUUGCUGAAAAUAAACUUAUUUUGGUGUAAUAGGGAUUUAAUCCCAUGUUAGAGAGGAUAAAGGGUUGGAAAAAUACCAUAUUACCUUUAAUGAGAUGGAAUAGGAGGCUUGAAAAUGGCCUGGGGCGAUUUCCAGGGUGGUGCCCUGCCUAGAGCACCGGAGUACCCAGGGCGGCGCCCCGCUUAGAGCGGGGAAGAACCCCAGGCGACGCCCCUAGAUCAUCUUGAGCUACUGGAAUUGGAUACCAAAUAUGCCCUUGAGCUCGUCUAAAAAUUUUGAAACUCACCCGAGAUGUACUACAACCUUGCCCCAUCGCAACAAAAAAAUCAAGAAAUGGAGGUCAGGAUGAUCGCAAAAUAAUUCAACGAAGAUUGAAGGCUCAAAAUACACUAAGUGUUGGAACACUUAGCUAAAAUUCUAGGUGUUAGGCUUUUUUUUAUCUUACUUUGAAUGCUUUAACGACAUGGAAACUUUAUAGAGUCUUACAAUUUGUCCCCCUUGGGAACAUUUGUCCAGAGUUAGCUUGUGAUACCACUUUAUUCAAAUUAUGUUCAAUAUUGAACCUUAUGGACUUUCAGUGCAUGUUUCCAUAAUAUUAUGUUAUAUUAUGCAGUGUAAAUGUACAAAUAUCAGUCAUGGGUUACCUUGUGGUCCUUUGAGGUCAUGCGCACUGUGUAGCGUUUCAGUUCAGAAAAUUAAGGUAUUACAAACUUGGUAUCAGAGCCUAAGGUUUCAAUAGUAUCCUAGAAAGUCUAAAAGCCUCAUCUAGUAGAGUCUUGUGCAUGGGUAUGUUGCACGCCACAUUUAUGUACAGGAGGCUAUGAGAUAUUUUGCAAACAGUUUCCCUUCUUUCAGUAUUCAUGUCAUGCCAGUGAGCAUAAUAUCAAGUCAAUCUCUCAGUCUAAUUUGUUUCUCCCAUUCUUCUACAGAACAUGCCUCCUAAAAGAAGAAACAACAAUCAGACAGCCCCUCAGCGCGAAGAAUCUUUGGGAGAUCAUAUUUCUCAUGCAGAGUUCAGGACCCCAUUCACCACUCUUGCUCAGUCAGUUGCUUCCCAGAAUGAACAACCAGCUGUAGUUCCAGCAAACUUGGUGUCCAAUUCAGCUGCAUCUAGAAUUCGGGACUUCACCCGAAUGAAUCCUCCAACCUUUCUCGGGUCUAAGACAGAUGAGUACCCUCAGGAAUUCCUAGAUCAAGUUCAGAAGGUGAAAAAUAUCAUGGGGGUGACUACUAUAGAGAGUGUUGAGUUAGUCGCAUAAUAAUUGUAGGAUGUGGCUCAUACUUGGUACAAACAGUGGAAGUCAGAAAGGUUAGAUGAUGUAGGUUCUAUACAGUGGGAGGAGUUUUUCUUUGCUUUCCUUGAUAGGUUCUUUCCACUAAAGCUUAGAGAAGCUAAGGUGGUAGAGUUCAUCAUCCUCAGGCAGGGUAAUAUGACAGUGAAAGAGUAUUCUCUCAGGUUUACUCAAUUAUCCAGAUAUUCCCCUCAUGUGGUUGUAGAUAGCAAAGCUAAGAUAAGUAAGUUCAUUUCAGGGGUGAAUGAUAGUGUGGUAAAUGAGUGUAGAUCUGCCAUGAUGAAUAGUGAUAUGACUUUAGUCAGGCUUAUGACUCAUGCUUAGCAGAUAGAGAAGUAAAAUAUUAGGAUGAGGGAGAGACAGAGUAAGAAAUCAAGGACAGGUAGUUUCAGCUUUUCUUAGCCUAAGUCGUAGGGUGGUAACCGUUCUCAACAUAAUCAAAAGUUUUCAGUCCCAGCUCCAUCCUCAGCUAGUGCACCAGUACCUAAGUACAGAAAUGACCGUCAUGAUGGGGCGCCAGGAUCCUAGGCCCAGGGUAGUGACGAUAUGAGUCUUACCUAUCCGCUUUGUGAAGAGUGUGGUAGGAAUAACCUAGGUGCAUAUAGGGCAGGCAGUGAUUUAUGCUUUGGGUGUGGAAAGCCAGGCCAUAGGAUGCGAGAGUGUAGAGUUCUAGCACAGAGGAGUAAGUAUUUGCAUCAGCAGGGCACCAAGGGUGGUCAGCGUCAGAAUAGACUUUAUGCACUCCAGACCCGUCAUAAUUCAAAAGGUUUCCCUGACCUAGAUUCGGGUAGGUUACAAGUCUUUCAUGUUCAUGGUAUGCAUUGUUAGAUCUUUUUCUCUCUUUGAGCUUAUGUUUCAUCAUGAGUUAGUUAGUAAAGUCAACAAGUCAGCUUAGUAAUCAAGCAGUCAGAUUUGUAUAGUUUGUUGUCUCAUCCUUGCAUCUAUUCAUGCUAUCCAAAGUCUCAGGAAUGUAACUAUUCCAAGGUAGAACCUCCUAGUAGUUGCAAGUUCAAUUCAGUUCAUGCAUUAUGCAUUAGUUUUAGACUCUCGAGGUUUAGUUAUAAUCUAGUUCGUAGAUGCCCUGUACAUCACCCCUGUAUCUCAGUAAGGUGAGCGUUCUUAGAGGGACAUAGUGUCCCAAGGGGGAGAUACUCCAUAACUCCUCAACGCUCUCAUGUCUUAACUCAUUUAGUUUCUCUUCUCAUGAAGAAUUUAGUUUAGAGUAUAGAUUACUCAGUAUGUUCUCAUGUUCCCGCUCAUGCAUGUUUAGUAAACGAUCUCAGGGUCAUUAGCAUUUCCAGUUAAGGUAGCAAUCCUCUUUAAGGUCAUUCAGCUUCAAGCUCAGUUUUUAGUACAAACUUGGUAUUUAGUUUCUCGCUCAUGUUUCCGUUAUAAACAUUUUAUCAAAUACCAUUGCAUAAUCAGUCAUGUUUUCAAAAGUCAGUUCAGUCAGACAUUCAUGCAUCAGACAUGCAUUCUCAUCGUGAGAACCUCAAUUUAUCAGAAUGUUUAGUUAUGCAUUCAUGAAUCAGUUACAUAUGCAUCAGAUAUGCAUGUUCAGUAUGAAUUAGUUUAUUAGUCAUGUCAGUCUUAAGAUCAUGUUUUAGUCAUUCAUGUUCAGUUCAUGUUCAGCUUAUUGUUUCCCCUCUCAGUCAGUCUCAUUCGAGGACGAAUGUUCUCAAGGGGGAGAUAUUGCAAUACCCCAUAAACUUCUAAGUCUAAAAUUUAGCUCGUUAGACUUUACAAACUCCAAGACUUAGAAAAUCUUGCUGAGUGUUAAAUACUUAGUCUUAUUUUAGACCUCCAAACUUCAAAGAUUUAUUUAAUGACCUUCUCAACCUCCAUUUUGUGAUUUUCAAGUUGUGUUACGAUGGGGCAAGGUAAUAGGACAUCCUGGGUGAGUUUCAGAAUUUUUGAAAUCCGUUUAGAGCAGUUUUAAAUUUCAAAAUAGUAGCUUCAUACGAUUAGCAUGCGACGCAUGCUCCAUCACAUGGUCCUAGAAUGCGAUAUAGCAUGCAAUGCAUGCUCCUAUGUGAUAGACUAGAGCAUGCGACGCACGCUCCAUCGCAUGCUGCCGAAAAUUCCAGCUCCCAGCUCAGCAUUUUUAAGGGUAAAAUAGACCUUUUUCCUACACUAUAUAAGCUCCCAAACAUGGGAUUUAUGCCUAUUUACACCAAAAUAUAGUUACUUGUCUCAAAAUCCUCUCAAGAACAAGCUAGGGUUUCAAUUGGGGGAUUCAAGUUCAAGAAAAUUCUACCAUCAAAUCUCAAGAAUUUCUCCGUCAAUCUUCAUUAAAUCAAGAACUAAGGUAUGCGUAGUGUUCAUCCACGGAUUUCUUUCAUCCGUGGAGCCCAAGAAACAAGUUUUAAAUAAUAAAUUAUGAUUUUCAUGUGUUGUAGGAUUAUGUUCAUGUUGAUGGUUGUUAUUGGUAAUUCAAGAUGGUAUCUUGAUGUAUUUUCAUGAAGUAUGUGAGCAUGUUAAUUGAAAUCCAUGAAAUUGGGUGACUUAGAUUGUUAAAUUGAUACAUAUACCUAUGCCCAACGUUGUGCAUGUAAGGUGUUCGAUAAAAUGCCUAAAAUGAUAAAAACCAUGUUUUCAUGACUCAAUAGUGCUUACGUGACAAGUCCAUCCUCUAUCCCUUAUAAUUCAACAUAAAUUCCAUGCUUCUGUUGUGUAUUGAUUGUUGUGAUGUGGAAUGCCCAUGAUAUUGAAGUUAUGCAAGUAUUUACAUGUUACACACAUUCCCUUUCAUGUAUAAGAUGUUGAGAACCAUGCAUAGUAUGAAGGUCCGGUCCCUAAUUAUGGUAUUAUGAAUUAUUGAGUAUGGUCAUGUAUUCAAGAAAGUCAUGCUGUGUCAGUUUCCUUCCAUCGAGUCCUGGGGUACUUAUACCAAAAAAAUAUAGUUGUGUGCCUAAAGUCAUGUUAUGUUAUCACGAUAAUCUCAGUCAAGCCAUGAUCUAUAGAAUUCAGUCAGUCAUGUAACUCAAGAAAACUCAGAAAUCUCAGCAGUCUCAGUAGUUCAGUAAUCUCAGUACUCAAUAGUCUCAGUAACCUCAGUGUUCCCAUUAAUCUCAGAAAUCUUAUGAACUCAGUCAGCUGUCAAAUAUUAGUAGUAUUCCGUCACUCACGGAACUCAGUAAACUCAGUCCAGUUCAUUUUCUUUUAGAUGGGAGUAGGAUUCAGCAUCGAGUGAGCCUAGGGAUGGGGACUCACCCGCUAGAAAAGACUAAGAUCUCUAGAAGCAAUCUCUAAGUUUCAGAAUUACGUAGCCAGCGUAGAUACGAGAUGUCACCAGUUAGAUAGAACUGACAUACUUAGGGAUCACCCAUUAGUACAUUUAAAUGUAUAGGACUGGUCCCAAGGUUCUCCCGCUAGAUUAGGACUGACUCCACAACAGUUGUCUUUACCAGUGGCGCGGUACUGACACCCUUCCUACUGGGGUUACCGGUUGGACCCAGUUAGCUUAGCAUGAGGCAUGUUGAUUGGAUGAAUACAUCCCAUAAUUUUAGUUAUAGAAUCAGGACUGUCAGAUAUAGUCAAUUCAGCUCAGUAAUAUAGAUUCAGCACUGUUAGAUAUGGUCAAUCCUUAUCAUUAUAAAUAGACUUCGGGAUCAUCCAUUAGAUAGGACUGAUCUGAACUAUGGUCAAUCAGUAUUAGUAUCAUCAGAUUUAGAGAUCACCCGCUAGGUAGGACUGAUCUCAGACUAAAUCAAUUCAUCUUUAUUAUCAAUAUACUCAAAGAUCACCCGCUAGAUAGGACUAAUCUCAAAUUUAGCUACUCCAUACAGAAUGGAACUCAGAUAGUUCCAUCAGAACUUAGACUGUCAGAUACAGUUGCUCAGUAUCAGUUACACCGGUUAGGCUGAUCAUCCCAGUUAUAUCAGUUAUAUUAGUAAUCAUAACUUACGUUAUCAGUAUUCAGUUUCAGGACUAUUAGACACAGUCAGUCAGACCAGUUCUUCAUAAUUUGAACUGUCAGAAAUAGUCAUUCAUCUAUUUAAUAUCUCAGUAUUAGUAAACUCAUGUUGUCAGCAUUCAGACUCAGUAUUCAGUAUCACCACGAGUUUAGUUAUAGUAACUUAUGCAUGUAUGUAUUCUCACGUUCAUAUGAGUCAGCAUUGUUCAUACAUAUAAACCCUUUGCAUUUAGCCUACCUCACUCGUAUACUCAGUACAUUCACACGUACUGACGCAUUCACGCUAUGGUGUAUUAUUUUAUUCUAUAGGUUCAGAGGCAUAAGUUCUAGAGCAGUAGUAACAUUGCAGAUUUUAGCAAUCAGAGUUAGAAGUGAGUUCUCAUCCUUCUAGGAUAUGAUUAUUUCUUUAAUUUCUCACUGAUUAGUUCAUUAGUUGGAGUUAGUUGGGGACAUGUCUCGUCAGCUCCUUAUUUAGAUUAUUCAGUCAGUAGAGGCUUUCAGACUAGAUGCAGACUAGAUCACAGACUAGAUUCAGACUUUAGUAUUUCAGUUUUGUUUUGGUAUUGUGAUGCCACUUUAUUUAGAUUAUGUUCAGUAUUGAACCUUAUGGCCUUUCAGUGCAUGUUUCUGCAAUAUUAUACUAUAUUAUACAGUGUACAGGUAUAGAUAUCGGUCAUGGGUUAGCUUAUGGUUCUUCGGGGUCAUGAGCACCGUGUAGCAUUUCGGUUCAGAAAAUCAGGGCAUUGCAGGUAGGCUAAAAUGCAUGGGGUUUAUAUGCAUGAACAAUUCUAACUGAUUGACUAACAUGAAUGUUAGAAUAUAUGCAUGAAUAUAUAAUAACUGUAACUGGGAUCGUGAUAACAUGAUUACUGAGUCUAAAUACUGAUAACAUGAGUUUACUGAUAACAUGAGUUACUAUAUCUGACAGUCCUAAUACUAAUGGAACUAGCUGGGUUCCUUUUUGAACUGAGUUGACUGUAUCUGACAGUCCUAAAAUCUGAAGAACUAUCUGAGUAUUUUUAUUGAGACUGAGAUUAUGACUAUGGGAAGUAGUUAUCUAACCGGCAUGCCCCAAAUAAGAUAUUAUAGUUAAGUUAGGGUCCAAUCUGUACCCUGAUUGGAAGGGUGUCAAUAUCGCACCACUAGUAAGGACAUGUUAUGAGUGACCCUCAUCUAUUAGGUACUCUAAUGAGAAUGGUGGGACCCUCAUCUAAUAGGUUAAGCUACCUUAUUUACCCUCAUCUAGCAGGUUAUGAUGUCUCAACCUACGCUGGCUAUGUAAUUUUGAAAUGUAAGGAUUGCUUCUAAGAAUCACUCCCUCAACUAGUAGGUGAGUUCCCAUCCUUGGGUUCACUCGAUGCUAACUCCUACUCCCAUCUGAAUAGACACUGAACAUGAUUUAACUAAACUGAACAUGGACUGAGUUUACUGAAUUCCGUUGACUGACAGAGUACCACUAAAGUCUGUUAACUGACUGAGUUCAUGAGAUUACUGAGAUUUCCUGAGUCAUGAGACUGACUGAAGUCUAAUGAUCAUGGUUUGACUAAGAGAAUCGUGAAAACAUGACACUGGCUCUAAGCACACAACUAAAUUUUUGGGUACAAGUACCCCCAGGACUCGAUAGCAUAAAACUGACCAAACUUGACACUUCUUGAUCAUAGGACAAAAGUCCACAAUUCAUAAUACCAUAAGUUGGGGAUUUCAUGAAGCACAUAGUUAUCAUAAUCUUAUACAUGAAUGAGAAUACAUACAACAUGUCAUAAUUUCAUAAACUAUCCUCAUGAGCAUUUAAUCCAACAUUCAAUGCACAACAAUAUCAUAGGAGUCAUUUUGAUCACAAGGGUGAAGCAUGCAUUUGUCAUUUAGGUCACAAUUGAGCUAUAAUGCAUGAUUUCUAGUCUCUUAGGCAUUUUAUCAAACACUUUGCAUGCAAAACUUAGGCAUAAGUGUAAUCAUCAAAUCACAUAUCAUAAACAACAAAAUUUACAUAUUUCCAACUUAUAUGCUACCAUAGUCUCAUACAAACACAUAAAGAUUCCAACUUGGGAAUCAUUCAACAUCAACAACAUGGCCAUAAAUAGCCCUUAACACAAACAUCAUAGUUCAUAAUCUAAAAUAGGGUUCUUGAGCUUUAUGGAUGAAAGGAAUCCAUAAAUCAACACUAAACAUACCUUAGUUCUUGAAUCUACGAAGAUUUACGGAGGGAAUCUUGAACUUGAAUCUUUUAUGAAAAAUCCUAGCUUGUUCUUGAGAGGAUUUUAAGAGAAGUGACAGUUUAAUUUCGUGUUUUAGACUUAUAUAGGGGUGGAAAAUUGACCAAAUUGUGCUUAAAAAUACAGAGGUGAAAUACCAAAUUUUUUGGCAAAAGGCUAUAGCCUGGGCGGCGCCCCGCUUAGACCCCCGGUCUAGCCUGGGCGACGCCCUACAUAGACCGGUGGUCUAAGCUGGCGGCGCCUCCCCAACGCCUUUAGCUACUGGUUUACAAAUCCAAACAUGCCCUUAUAAUAGUUGAAAAAUUCCAAAACUCACCCGAGAUGUACUAUGACCUUACUUCAUCGCAAUGCAACUUGAAAAUAAAAAAACGGCGGUCGGAAAGGUCAUAAAAUAAAUCUCCAAAGUUCGGAGGCUUGAAAUGAGACUAAGUGUUGAACACUUAGCUAAAAUUUUCUAAGUGUUGGAUCUUUUAAACAGCCUACGAAGCUGAAUUUUAGACACAUGAUUUUGCGAGAUCUUACAAAAAAAAAAGAUAAAAAUACCCCAAGGUAAGGCUUCUAGAAGGAAGCUGAACUAUACAAGUAAUUAUAAGAAUGCGAAAAAACUUGAUCAAAAUACCAAUCAUGCUCAAUACCAGGUGUCAAUAGUGUAAGAACUACUAAUACAAUCCAAGAGUCAAAUACAUCAAAAAAAUAACCACAAAGGAAUAAUAUCUGUCUCAAAAUACUAAUAAAGACUUACUACUAUAGAAAAAUAGAGGUGAACUUCAGAAGUAUGAAUGUCCAACCGCUACAUUGGAAGCUCCAACUAUCGCCUGAGUCAAGCAAGCAAGGCGCACUCGAGCUAGGACCUGAAACAAAAGGGCUCAGUAGGCAUGAGUACGAUCCACUUGUACUAAUAGGUAUCAUAGGCCGAUUAAGCAAAGUAGUAAAUAAAACAUACAAAAUAUACACUAAGAGCACGUCACUUGCAAUCAGAAAAUAUCUCACAGUAGUAGCCCACACCGCUUCGACUUAUAGUUCUAAUAUAUCACAUAUACUGCAACAUCAUAACAAGAUAGGACACAAGUAUGCAUUAUAUCACAUAUAAGUAGAACAAGAGGGAACAUACAUACACAAGAUCAUUAAAUUACAAGUAAAAGAGGAUAAGACAAUUACAUAAAUGAUAAGUUAAUAUGGCAAUACAACACAAUAUAAACACAAUAAUGCAAGUCAAUGCAUAUGACGAUGAUAAUGAUACACGAGGUCGUCGCACAAUCCCCGUAUGACCUACGGGGGCAAGCCUCUCAACGCAGGACUCAUGGGGGUUCAUCAACCCAUAUACAGUCCACAUAUAUCAUAUUUUCUUUCCGACACAUUCCUCGGAAAGCUGUUAUCAGGUGUUGCCAGUGUUUCUCAGAUAUUGCUACAGUGGAACCAAUGAUUCAUGAAUGAGUAUUAUAUGAGUAUGUAAUGCUCACAACUAAUCACAAUGAGUGUUUCCACAACCAACCACAUGAUAGAUUUCCACAACCAACCACAAGAUAUAUUUACACAACUAACCACAAUGAUGCAUUUCCACAACUACAUAAGUCAAUAUCCACUCUUUAUUUUCGUUCCAUCUAUAAAUUUCCACAUGUCUCAAUGUCAACAAAGGUGAAAAUAAUCACAAUACAUCAAUGGUACCUCAUUAAGCAUUUUACCAACACAAUAUAAUUAUUCACAUGUAUUCAAGACUAUCAUUAUCACAUAGGACCCCAGACGGUCACACAUCUCACAUAAUAUCUCAAUUUCGAUAAUUACAUCACAUAUAGGCCCCCACACCGGAACAACAAAUAGAUAGCCAUUUUUCAUGAUUAAUUCACUCUCUUAACAUGCAUUUUAUACCAUCAUUUACUACCCAGCCCAGUCUGAAAGAGUUAAGUCAUAACCUACCUCAAAAGCCUAAAUCGAUCCUCUAUACUUCGAACCAACAAACUUACUUUUUACAAACAAUCCCAAACUCUACUAAAAACAUCAAAUAUGGAAUCUACGCAUCAAAAUAAAACCUUGAUUCGGGAUCAAAAUGGACCUUCGGAACGGGUUUUCGAAAAAGGGCAAAAUUGAAACUUUACUUCAAAAACAUGUUCCCCAUAUUUUUAGAAAUCUACAACUGAAAAUUCAAGUCAAAUCGAGUAAAAAAUGAGAUUCAAAUUAAAUAAUAAUUACUUUAAGCUUUAUUGGGUAAAUUUUUUGAAAUUCGGGUUAAAAUCAGUAAUCAGAGUUAUUUUGAAAGUUAAAUUGAUCAGAAACUAGUAAUCAUAAGAUAAAAACAUUAUUAAAGUGAAAAGAAGUGAAAUUGAGGUUUAAAAUCAAGCCCUAAGAUUUUUGGGGUUUUUAGAUUUUAAUCAAGAAAUUACUAAGAAAAGAGUGAAUUCUUACUUUAAAUCCGUAAUAGAAUCAAGAAAUAGAUGUUAAUCUAGCUAUCCAAGCUCCCAUACUAUUUUAUGAUUUAACUCUCAAGAGGCAAGAUGAAAAAUGAGCAUAAUAGGCUAAAAACUGCUAUUUAUUAUUGCACAUUUUCCUGCACAUAUUUUGCUACAAAGCUUGUGUUUUUAAAGUCAUUUCGGACUUCGACGGAGUGCUCGAAAUUCGUACAAAGUUCGAUAUAAAUAAACGAACUAUGCAACCUUACUAAAUUUGACUUUCGGGACGCGUUGACGAAGUUAGAUUUUUAAUAAAAUAUCAUUUCACAAAAUUGACCCCCAAAACACGACAUCACAAUUUUUCAAUCCGAGAGUCGAAAUGAGAUUUAAAAGCUGUAAAAUUAUCCCAAAUAAGUAAACAUCCUAAAAUUGAUAUUUCAGAUCUGCUGGCAAAGUCGGUUUUCCAUUCGAGGUCGUUUUGAUCAAAUGUGGGUCCCGCACUCAUAUUUUUAAUUUUUCAACUUUCCAACCAAUAAGCCGAAAUGAGCUCGGGUACAUCGAGAUCCGAACCAAAUGUCUACCUCCGUUUAGCCAUCCAUUGCACUGAUCAAAAGAUAUCCACAUAAGUCCAAAAUAGGGUUGUCGAAGCAAUCAAAAACCACAAUAUCUCAUAAAUGGUUAUAAAAUGCAUUGAAAAGCAUGCCAAUCACCCCCACAUCCUAAAAAUAUCUUAAUAAAAUUACGGAGAGGGGUAAAACAUUCAAAUUAUACAAAAUCAUAAAAUAUCACAUAUUUGAUCAAAUUUUAAGAUAAUAUUUCUUAUAUUCGUUGGUUUUCCUUUAACAUUUGGGAUUAGGUGGGCAUUUGUACCUAUAAACCUAUAUAAAUAAAAACCAUUAAUGUUGUUUUCAUUAUGAAAAGGGAUAUUUUUUUAAAAAUAUUUCUCAUGAAAAUAUUUCCCUUUGUGUCAAUCACACCCUUUAAGAGUAUAGCAUCAAAGGACAAUGGUCCCUUUCAUAACUACUCAAAGGACAAUAGUCCCUUUCAUAAUUAACUCCACCAUUGGAUGAGUGGUGGACAUAGCUAGUGGUUUGGUUUGAUGGGAAAUAGUAUUGAAAAAAAAAAAAUUGAGUAUUAGAGAUAAGAAUUCAGUAUCUCCUUGAACUAUGAUCAAAGUUGAUAUGAUACACUUCAAUUUUAUAUGGAUUCUACUACACUGAAUUCAAUUUUAGCGUAUUUUAUCACACUUUUGUGCUGACAUGACACCUUGAUUACCUAAAAAUAGGAACCACGCUAGCUAAAAAGGUGCCACAUCAGAUAAAUAAGGUGACAAAAAUAUACUAAAAUUGAGUUCAGAAAUAAUAGGAUCCUUGUAAAGUUAAAGUAUAUCGUAGCAAAUUUGGUCAUAGUUUAGGCGAGUUCUAGGUACUUUACUCUUUUUGGUUUGGUUUAAUUUUAACUAAAGAAAGUAAAAUCAAACAAGUCCAACAUUAUAUGUUUACAAUAUUAACCACACCCUUUUAAGAGUAUAGCCUCAAAGGACAAUGGUCCCUUUCAUAAUUAACUCCACCAUUGGAUGAGUGGUGGACGUAGCUACUGAUUUGGUUUGAUCGGAACUAUUAUUGAAGAAAAAAAAUAUCUGAUUAUUAGAGAUAAGUAUCGAGUAUCCCUUGAACUAUGGUCAAAGUUGCUAUGACACACUCUAGUUUCACAUGGAUUUUAUUACUCUAAACUCAAUUUUAACAUAUUUUUAUCACACUUUUGUACUGACAUGACACCUUUAUUACAUAAAAAUAGCGCUCACAUCAACUAAAAAGGUGUCACAUCAGUUAAAAAGGAUGACAAAAAUACACUAAAAUUGAGUUCAGGGGUAAUAAGACCCUUGUGAAAUUGGAGUGUGUAAAAUUUAGUCAUAAUUCGGGCAAGCACCAGAUGCUUUACUCUUUUUGGUUUGGUUUAGUUUUAACUAAAGAAAGUAAAAUCAAACAAGUCCAACAUUAUAUGUAUACAAUUUUAAAAUAUUCAAUACAUAGAAAAAAUUUAUUUUAAUGUAAUUUAUUGGUAUUUCUUAAACUUUUGCUUAGCUUUUAUCUUUUAGAAAAUUAUUUGAAUUUAAUUUUAGGCUUAGAAUUCUAAAUAGUUCAUUAAAUUUUAUAGUUCGUAAAUAUUUUUAACUCAAAUACAAAGUCCAAAUCAAAAUGGAAUAAAUACAAAUAAUACUAACAAAAUAAGACNNNNNNNNNNNNNNNNNNNNNNNNCUAAAAGCUCCCAUCUUUUUAUCCCUUGUAGUAGAAUCAGGGGCGGAGCUAGGCAUGGGUUCGAACUUUGUUCAACGAAAAAUUAUAAUAUUUAUAUAUGAUUAAAAUUAUUUUUUAUGUAGAUGCAGUAAAUGUUGAAACCCUUCUUAUUACUUCGUAUGUUUACUUCUGAAUCUCCUUUGUAAAAAUUUUGACUCCGUCACGAUGUAAAACAACCGCUUUUGUUUACUUGAAAGCUUGAGCUUACAGUUGGAUAAAUUUCUCAACUACUCAUUUGUCAAGCCUUUUCUUUAAUACUAGAGGAGCAUACCCGUGUCAGCACGGAUCCAACAUUAAAAUAUUUUAAUUAUGUAUAAUAAGUAGAUUGAUGUUAAUUCGAAUUAUGAAUUAUAAAAAAUUAAUACACAAAAUAUAUUAGCUACUUGAUAAUAUUUUUCAAGGAGUCAAAUUAUCUUGCAAGAGAAUUAUGUAUAACUUAUUCAUAUCAGUAUAAAAAUUUGAUACAUUUUAAAGUUUAGAUCCUUAAUCAUAUGAUUGAGAUUUGCUACAUUAAGUAUAAAAUACGAGAUUAGAAUUAAUACAUAACACUUGACACUUGUUGUAUAAAAUAGAAAAUAGUUAUUGCAAAAUACAAAGGGUUAUCUAGUCAUUGCUUAUUACAUCAUAUGUGGGUUGCAAUGAAUAAUCCAAAAUUGCAUCGUAUUUCCCUCCUAAGCCGACAUAAACAUUCUUUGCUUUCAUUUUUCCUUCUCUUUUAUUUGUCAACUUAUUCGUUGAAGUUAAAAGUAAAUUAAUAUUUUAAAUUUAAAUUCUAAGUGUUUCAAAAAUUAUAUAAAAAAAAUUAUAAGUUAUCAUCCAUCAUAUCAAUUUAAGUUAUUUGACUUUGAGAACACAAUAAAACAUGCUUCUGUGAAUGUUUUAUCGAACUUUGCUUUUGUAUAUGUUCUUUCCAUUGAAACGUAGGAGUCGUUAGUUAGAGUGUAUAAAAAUAAUUUUGAAUAGAACAUAUGAAUGUUUGCAUUACUAAUGCUUGAAUUAGUAAUAUUGGUAUUCUUUAUGCUAUCAUUAUUUCUUAUACAUUUUUUGGUGUGCUGUAUUAGAACUUGCCUUUUCAACCUUGAUAGUUUUAAACAAAAAAUUAAAAAAAAAAAGGGAUUGCAUAUACAUUCUAAGAUUCAUUCGAGAUCUAGCACGGGUUCAAUAUAUGUUAUUUUAUGUCUCAAUUUAUGUGACCCAUAUAAAAUUUAGAUAAUCAAUCACAUUUUUAAUAUGUAUUUAGAUAAUUUAAGUUGUUAACUGUUAUAAUUUAUAAUAUUUUUAAUGUAAUUUUAAAAUAAUAUACAUUGCUUUUUCUUAUCCAAACUUUUGUGGCAUUGAUAGCGAAUUAUAUUUUUAAAAUAAUUUAAAUUUUUAAUUAUUGUGAUUUAUAAUACUUUUUGUCUAUUUCAAUUUAAGUGACACUAAUAUAAUUUUGAGAGUCAAACAAAUAUUUUAUAUUUGUUAAAUUUUUUAAGUUGUUAAUUAUUCUAAUUUAUAUUAUUUUUUAUGUACUUUUUUGAGAUAUAUAACAGAUUAAAUUAUUUUUAGAUAUUUUAAGUUGUUAACUAUAGUAAUUUAUAAUACUUUUUAUGUAAUUUUUGAAUAAUAUAUGUUACUCUCCUUGUCAAGAGUUCUGUAACGUCGAUAUCCAAUUAUAUUUUUUAAAUAAUUUAAUUUUUUAAUUAUUAUAAUUUAUAAUAUUAUUUCUAUUUCAAUUUAAGUGGCACAAUGCUUAGAUGACCACAGUAAUUAAUUAGGGGUGAUAUAGUAAAAUCACGAUUGAAGCAGCGACACAUAAAUGUCUUAAAUGACUUACAACAACUAAUUAGAAGUGACAAAGCAAAAUUACUAUUAAAAAUACUUGUGAAAAUUUUUUAAGUGAACCUCAUAUGAGACGUCAAGUUAUAAAAUAUCAAGAGCUAACUUAUCAUUUUUAUAUCUAUUUUAUCUUUUUUCUAUUAAUUUUUUUUAUUCUUUUAAUACUCAAGUGACUUAUAAUAAUUAAUUAAGGGUGAUAUUCAGUAAAACUAUGGUUGAAGCAGCUGAAGCAGACAUGUCAUAAAUGUCUGUUUUAUCUUUUAAUUAAAUAUCAUUAAUUUUUUGAUACAUAAAUGACUUAUAAUAAUUAAUAAGGGGUGAUACAGUAAAAUCAAGGCAGAAGCAGACAUGUUAUAAAUUUUUAUUUUAUAUUUUUUAAUUAUUUAUUAUUAAUUUUUAAUAUGUAAUGACUUAUAAUAAUUAAUUACGAACGAUAUAGUAAAAUCACGGAUGGGAUAUUAUUAAUUUUUCAAUACAUAAAUAAAAUAAUAAUUAAUUAUAGUGAUAUAGUAAAAUCAUGGUUGAACCAGAUGAAGCAGACAUAUUAUAAAUGUCUAUUUUAGUUUUUAAUUAAAUAUAUCAAUUUUUUAAUAUAUAAAUAACUUAUAAUAAAUUAAUUAGGGGUGGUAUAGUAAUAUCACGGAGCAAGCUAUAUAUAUAUUACUAUCUAUAAUAAGCGGCAAUAGGCAGGCAGGUCUUCGACAUGCUUGCUUGUGCUAUCUGCUUUAGCUGCUUUAAUCGUAAUUUACCCUAUUACCCUUAAUUAAUUUCUCUAGGUUAUUUAAGUAUUAAAAUUUAUAGUAUUUAAUAAAAAAAUAUUAAUUACUAUUUACUAUUUAAUUUUUUAAAUUAACUUGAUGUCUAGGCCCAUUUAUGUUUUUUUUCACAAGUAUUUUUUAUUAUAAUUUUAUUAUAUCACUUUUAAUUAGUUGUUAUAAGUCAUUUAAGACAUGUCUUCUUCGCUGCUUCAAUCAUGAUUUUAUUACAUCACCCUUAAUUAAUUAUUAUAUGUUAUUUAAGUAUUAAAAAUUUAUAAUAUUUAAUAAAAACUAUAAAAUAGACAUAAGAUAAUAAAUUAAUAUUUAAAUUUUAAAUUAACUUGAUGUCUUAUAUGAGGCACAUUUAUGCUUUUUUUCACAAGUAUUUUUUGUAGUAGUUUUAUUAUAUCACUUCUAAUUAGUUGUUAUAAGCCAUUUAAAACAUGUCUUCUUCGCUUCUUCAAUCAUGAUUUUACUAAAUCACCCCUAAUUAAUUACUAUGAUAGCAUUAGAAAAUUAAUAAUAUUUAAUAAAAUAAACAUAAAAUGAUAUGUCAAUAUAAAAUAUUUGAUUAACUAUCGAAAUUAUUUUAGUGCCACAUAGAUUGACUUUCGAAAUUAUAUCAGUGUCAUUUAAAUUUGAAUAGAAGAAAAAAUAUUAUAAAUCACAAUAAAACAUUUGAUUGACUAUCGAAAUUAUAUUAUUGCCACAUAGAUUGACUUUCGAAAUUAUAUUCGUGUCACUUAAAUUGGAAUAGAAGAAAAAGUAUUAUAAAUCAUAAUAAUUAAAAGUUAAAAUUGUCUUGAUAAUUAAUAAUCUAAAUUAUAUUUGUGUCACAUAAAUUGAGAUAAAAAAUAACAUAUAUUGGGCCCAUGCAAGCACGGAUCAUUCAAUGUCUAGUAUGUAUAUAUAUAGAAGUAAAUUAGAAGCUAGAAAUAAGAUAAGCAUUUAGUACACUCUUGAAUUAUGGCCAAAAUUGCUACGAUACAUUCCAACUUCACAGGGUUCUAUUACCCCCACUAAAAUCAAUUUUAGUGUAUUUUUGUCACCCUUUUGGGCUGACGUGAUAUCACUAUUACAUAAAAAUGGAUCCACGUCAAAGGUGUUGUUAUGUCAGCCAAAAAGGUGUCACAUCAGCUAAAAAAUUGACAAAAAUAUGAUAAAAUUUAGUCACGAAGAAAAUAGAAUCCCUGUAAAAUUGGAGUGUUUCAUAACCAAUUCGAUGAUAGUUCAAAGGAUUCUAAAUGCUUUACUCGCUACAAAUCAUGCAUAUCCUAUCUCGAAAGUACAUAAGAUUUGAGCUUAUAGUUGGAUCAAUUUCUCAACUAUUCUUUUGUCAAGCCUUUUAUUUAAUAAGUACAUAAGAGGCUAAAAAUGAGAUAAGCAUCCAGUACACUUACGAAUUAUGGCCAAAAUUGCUACGACAUAUUAUAAUUUUAUAGGAUCCUAUUACCCCUUUGAAGUCAAUUUUAGUGUAUUUUUGUCACUCUUUUGGGCUGACCUGACAGAUUUAUUCCAUAAAAAUGGAGUCCAUGUCAAAGGUGUCACGUUUUGAUAGGAACGAGUACAACUCUAGAGCUGUCUGAAGCACCAAUGAAAAGUGGAUCACCUUGAUUAAUUUUUGGGGCCAUAGAUGAACCGUUGGACAACAAAAAGAAAAAACUUAACUCUGCGAAGAGGAAGAAGAAAAUAGGGAUCACACAAUUCCCAAAAAUCCUCAGAGAACUGGAUGAGAAGCAAUGUGAAUCUUCUCAGUACUGAGCUCCAGGCUGUAAUACCAUGUGAAAAUCAAGCAAUGCAGCUUGAUUAUUCAUGAUUAAUGGAGAGAAAAUGAAAAGAGAAACUAAUUUUAUUGAUUGAUCUCUCUUUGUACAAAGCAUUGUUGCCCCUAUUUAUAGACUGAGCAACUGAGCUUUUGUUAGCUCACUUCCAGUUCAUUGACAACUCAGCUAACUACCUCAUAACUAUUUGGCAACUUAUUCAACUAAUUCAUUAACCGAUUAAUUAAUUGAUCAAUAAAACCGUAAAGUAUCUAAUGAAACAGUAGCCAUGUACAUAAAGAAGAUGCAGUAAUCACAUGUUAAAACAAUCAUAGGAUGCUAGAUGCUUAACUCAAUAAAUAAAUACUCUCUCCAAGAGGAAUAUCAUAUUAUUUUUUUAUUAAUCAAAUCAAAAGAAUGAGGUAAUGCCUAAUAAAUGUGCAUGUUGAGCUUGAAUUAAGCUCUUAGUGAUAAGAUAAGCAACCUAAUCAUGAGUGUUGACAUAAACAACCUGGAUCAAGCCACUCUUGAUCUUGUCCCUGAUGAAGUGACAAUCAAUCUCUAUGUGUUUUGUUCUCCCAUGAAACACUAGAUUGUUUUCCAGUUGUAUAGCUAAAUUGCUAUCACUAAAUACUCAUCUAGGCAAAGUAAUGGGAACAUUGAGUUCCUGGAAAAAACCAGCUAUCCAAGUUAUCUCUGCAACUACUGAAGCCAUGCUUCUAUACUCAGCUUCAACAAAACUCCUGGACUUAUUAUCUUGUUUCUUGGACUUCCAAGAUAUCAAGGAUUAACCCAAAUAAACUGCAUAUCCAGUGAAUGAUCUUCUAGUGUUAGGACAGGCAGCUCAGUCUGAGUCACCCUAACAAGUAAGAGCAGUAGAAUAAUCAAUCUUUAACCAAAUACCUUGUCCAACAAACCUUUUAGAUACCUGACUACUCUUGUAGCAGCUUCCCUGUGUAACCUCUUAGAAUGUUGCAUAAACUGACUGAGUAUUUGGAAAACAAAACUGAUAUCAGGUCUUGUAAUGGUGGCAUACAUGAACUUGACCAUAAGUCUUUGAUAAAAAGAAGCAUCUGAUAACAAUUCAUCUCCAUGUGCACCUGUAGAUUGAUCAUAUUCAAUUGUGGUCAAUUUCAUAUUGGACUUCAAAGGGGGUAAGUGUAGUCUUAGAACCACUGAGACCUGUGUCUGAGAUUAACUCAAGGAUAUACAUCCUUUGAUUUAAUAUUACUCCUAAAACUGAUCUUAGGACCUAGGACCUGAAUGUCUAAGAAAUACUUGAGAUCACCCAAAUCCUUCAUUCUGAACUUGUUUUAUAACUUAUCUUUUGUUGCUUUAAUCAAAGCAGCAUUACUCCCACUAAGAUGUAGAUUAUCAACAUGUACUAGAACUACUACUGUAUCAAUACCUUUAUGUAGAGUGAAAAGGGAAUAAUUAUGUGCACUUUGAGUAAAUCCAGCAUCAAGUAAUGCAUUAGUAAGCUUUAGAUUCCAUUAUCUUGAAGCUUGCUUGAGACUAUACAAAGAUUUGUGCAGCUUGCAGACCUUAUUCUCUCCCUUUCUCUUGAAACCUUAUGGCAGUUCCAUGUAUACUUCUUCUUCAAGAUCACCCAGUAAAAAGGCAUUAUAGACAUCCAUUUGAUGAAGGCUCCAUCCUCUAGACACAACUACUACAAUCACACACUUGACUGUUACCAUUUUAGCAACUAGUGAAUAUGUCUUAUGAUAGUCUAGCCCCUUUUACUGACACAGCCUUUGUCCACUAAUCUUACUUUGAAACUUUCUACCUCACCAUUUGUAAGAUAGUUUUUAUUUUGUAUAUCCAUUUGGAACCAACAGUGUUCUUCUCUUUGAGUAAGUUAACAAUGGUCCAUAUGUUGUUGGCUUUCAAGGCUUGGAUCUCUAACUUCAUGGCUUUCACUCAUCUGUCAUCUUUUAUAGCUUGCUUAAAGUGCUCAGGUUCAGUUAAGCUAGAGAACUUUGUCAAGUAACAUUGAUAAGCAUUGCUUACUUUGUUGUAAGACAAGCUAUUUGCAUUUUUGGCUUCUAGAGGAAUCAACAUAAUCUUGCAUCCAUACAGGUGGCCUAAUAGUUCUGGUAGGACCACUAGAUAAAGUUUGAGCCAAUGAGGGAUCAACUGGACUAUCUGCACUAUUUUUUGUCAUUUGUAUCAAUAUUAGGUGGUGCAGUAUCAAUAAAAGUAUUAUAUUCAACUAGUGAUGGAGAAAAUGAAGUAUCCUCAUAAAAAAACAUCACGGAAACUAAGAAAUCAAUUAUGUUUGUAUCAGGUUUGGAAGCUGCUGCGGGUGCAAUUUUUUUUGUGACUGGUCAAAAGAAAAUAUAUAUUCUUGGAACACAACAUUUCUACUAACUAACAACUUCUUAGAUUACAUGUCUAGUAGUAAGUAUCCCUUUUGAGAAUUUGAAUAUCCUACUAACACAACAGGUUUUGCCUUUUCAGGAAACUUAUCACCUCUAGGGGCAAUUAUCACAUAACACAGGCAACCCAUGACCCGUAAAUGGGAUAGGUUAGGCUCUUUAAAAAAUAACAGUUGAAAAGGGAUUUUACUACCUAACACUGAAGAUGGUAACUUAUUCAUGAUAUAUACAACAGCCUUCACACACAACCCCCAAUACUUAAUGGGCAAAUGAGACUGAAAUUUAAGAGCUCUAGUUAUAUUAAAUAUUUGUCUGUGCUUCCUCUCCAUAACUCUAUUUUAUUGUAUUGUAUGAGGACAACUGGUUUGAUACAAAAUACCUAAAGACCAAAACAAGGUUUGACAUUGAGAAUUAAUAAAGUCCCAUUAUCAGACCUUGUAGUCUUUAUCAAUACACCAAACUAUGUCUUGAUCAUGGAAAUAAAGAUCUUAAUAGCCACUAUGGUCUAAGAUUUUAGCUACAACAGAUGAACCAAAAUGUAUCUACUAUAUUCAUCCACCAUAGUAAAAAAAUAGUACUUAUUAUCAAAAGCAGAAGAUUUAUAAGGUCCCUAGAAAUCCAUGUGUACAAGUUCAAAACAGGUAGAGUACUUAGUAACACUAUUAGGAAAUGAUAACCUAGUUUGUUUAGCUAAUUGGCAGAUUGUACAUUUAUUAAGAAUAUCUACAUUAGUAAGAUUCUUCAAAAGGUCUAAGCAUCUUAAAACCCGUGAAGCUGGAUGCCCAAGUCUCUUGUGCCAUAGUGUACAUCUUGUAGAUGAAACUUCUGUAAUGAUCUUACUAUGCUUUAGUCUUACAGGAUAAGUUUUAUCUUCCCAAUUCUCCUUUAAGAAUAUAAAGUACACCCUUCUGUCUACCAAUACCCUCCACCUUGUCACUGAAUAGGUCGUAAAAGACACACAAAUCAGGAUAGAAGGAAACAAAGCAAGAUACUUCCUUGAUUAUCUUAGCAACAGAUAACGUAUUAAGUCUGAAGUCUGGAACAAAUAGAACAUCCUUGAUCAUAUCAUUUGCAAUAUGUAAGUCUCUCUAGUAUGGGAAAUAUGCACUUCAUCACCAGUAGGAAGGUGUAAUUGUCCUUGUGACUUUGAAUUAAGCAUGUACUAUCAUUGAACAUAUGUCUGUUUGCAGACAUAUGAUGUGUGGCACCUGAGUCCACAUGUAACUUUCAGAACAAACUUUAGACAAAAAACAAGUGGUAAUACUUGUCAUAUUGACUGUUUCAUCUCCUUGUUAUCCUUGUUCAACAUGCUCAUGAUUUGAGUAUAUUCCUUUUCUGUGAAUGUAUGAGCCUUUGCCGGUGGUGUAAAACCUAUGUCAUGACUGGGACUAGCAACAUCAACUUGUCUUGCUACCAUAUUUUCAAGUUGAUAAAACUUUCCACCAUUACUGGAAUAGUUUUUACCACCACCAUAUGACCUAGAACCAGACCUAGUUUCUUGUUUUGAUUUCAAUCAGUGAGAUAACCUAUCAGUUUAAAACAGUUCUCCUUAGCAUGACAUUAGAGGUGACAAUAGUCACAAUUUCUACCUUUGUAGUUGGUACUUCUUUGUCCAUUAGUAUAACUUCGAUUCACUUUCAUGGCAAGUGGUUAUGACUAGAGUCGUCAAAAUGGGCUUGGCCCUUGAGGCCGACCCAACCCAGCCCGCUAUAAGGGUUGGGUUGUGAUUUUUGAGCCCAUUUAAAACUGGGAUUAUAUGUCCAGCCCAAGUCAGCCCGCUGGCCCUUGACGCUUGACUAAGGCUGGGCCGGGCCGGCCCGUGGGUCAAAAUACUAUUUAAUUUAAAUUAAAAAUAUAUAUGAAUAUUGUAAAAGAAAAAGUAAUAAUUAAGAAUAAUAGUUAUUGAAUAAGUUUAAUAUCCUACAUGAUAUUUAACUUAGUAAGUCUUAAACCUUAAUCAUCAAGUAUUGAUGUUUCAUUUGUUAUUGUUGUUCAAUUUAAACUUAAAAUUAAAGAAAAAAUAAUUAAAAAUAUAAAUUGUGAUUACUCAAUAAAUUUUACCAAGUAUCUUACACAAUAUUUUACUCAUUUAGCAUUAAAUGAUAAAUAUUAAAAUUUUUAAUCAUAAAUAUAAAAACUGCAUCCAUUAGAAAAUGUUCAAACACAUGUUGCAACCACUCGAAAUCAAUUGCACAACAAUACCCAAAUUCAAAGAAAUAAUAGUUUUAAGUGAAUUUUAAAUAUUAUAAAUUUUUGAUAUAGAAUUUUUUGAUAUUGUUCAACUUGUUAAAUUUGUAUAUGAAUUUAGAUGAAUGUUGAUGUUUAUUAAGAUAAUGUAAUCAAUGAAUUCAAAUAUGUUUGACAAUGUAUUGGUGUUGAAAUAUUAUAAAUCAUCGUAGAAUUAUGUACUUUAUAUAAUAAUGUGUUAGAAGUGCGAAUGGACUGCCAUAUCUAUUAGUUCAAAUUGAAAAAGAAAAUCUAACAAAAAAUCGAUAAAAAUAAAGGGUUAGCCUGCCCCAACCCGUGACCCUAUUAGGGCUGGGUUGGGUCAUACAUUUUAAGGCCAUUUAAAGUAAAGGGCCGGCCCGUCCUAGCGCAUCAAAUUUUUUGGCCCGUGAAGCUUGGGCUAGGUUGGUUCAUCCUCUAUAAGCAUGGCAUAAGCAUGAUUGAUAGUUGGAGUCACUCCCUUUAGCAAAAUUUGUCUCCGAGCUUGAUCAUAUGACUCAUUUAGCUCACUCAAAAAACUACAACAGUCUCAGCUGACACAUGUGAUAUAAAUACUCCUUAGAUUUAGGGCAAUCACAUCUUGGAUUAGGAACUAAAACAUUAUACUCACUCCACAAGCUUUUCAAUUUUGUGAAAUAGAUUGAAACUGAAUCAGUACCUUGGGAAAGCAUAUUAAUUUCGCGAUGCAACUGAUAGAUGCGCAUGCGAUUCACCUUGUCAAAUCAUUCCUUUAGGUCCUCCUAGACUGCAUAAGCACUUGUAGCAUAAACAAUGCCAGAGAGCGGACUCUCUCACUAACAUUAUUCAUGAUCCAAGAGAGGACAAUUGCAUUGCAAGUUUUCCAUUGUUCAUGAAGUUCCUCCCUGUACGAGUCAUUGCAGGAUCCAAUGAUCAAACCAUAUUUCCUCUUUCCUAAGAGGACAAUUCACAUUGAACAACUCCACAAACUGUCAUUUUUUGAUCCAAUUAAUUUGAUAGGAACGAGUACAACUCUAGAGUUGUCUGAAGCACCAAUGAAAAGUGGAUCACCUUGAUUAAUUUUUGGGGCCAUAGAUGAACCGUUGGACAACAAAAAGAAAAAACUUAACUCUGCGAAGAGGAAGAAGAAAAUAGGGAUCACACAAUUCCCAAAAAUCCUCAGAGAACUGGAUGAGAAGCAAUGUGAAUCUUCUCAGUACUGAGCUCCAGGCUGUAAUACCAUGUGAAAAUCAAGCAAUGCAGCUUGAUUAUUCAUGAUUAAUGGAGAGAAAAUGAAAAGAGAAACUAAUUUUAUUGAUUGAUCUCUCUUUGUACAAAGCAUUGUUGCCCCUAUUUAUAGACUGAGCAACUGAGCUUUUGUUAGCUCACUUCCAGUUCAUUGACAACUCAGCUAACUACCUCAUAACUAUCUGGCAACUUCUUCAACUAAUUCAUUAACCGAUUAAUUAAUUGAUCAAUAAAACCGUAAAGUAUCUAAUGAAACAGUAGCCAUGUACAUAAAGAAGAUGCAGUAAUCACAUGUUAAAACAAUCAUAGGAUGCUAGAUGCUUAACUCAAUAAAUAAAACCAGCUAACAUUUCGAUUUUAAACAGAACAUUGUUAAAAAAGCAAUCUAUAUUCUCAUAGAAUAUAUAUGUUCUGGGACGGAAGGAUUCGAACCUCCGAAUAGCGGGACCAAAACCCGUUGCCUUACCGCUUGGCCACGCCCCAUUUAGAUUUCUAUCCGAUACUAAAAAAGUAUAUUGCUGGUUUUGUUUGUUUGUCAACUCUAGUCCAAAUAUCUAUAGAAUAGAUUAGAUUGGUACUGGGAUUUUGCUAUGUUUUUGGUAUGUGUAGAUAUAGAAUUCAACUUAAUUUAUUGAUCAUUACAUAUAAUUCAAUUAAGAUAUUGUAUGAAAAUAUGAUUUUUUCGAUUCUCCUUUGAGAAAAGGAGGAUUUUUGAUUGGGUGGGUUCAAAGAAAAAGAAUAAUUUUUUGUUUACCUUACUUACUUUCCUUUUCCUUAUAUCAGCUUGCUAAAAUUACACCUCAAAAAAUUGCACUAAAUUCUAGAAGAAGAUUAAAAUAACAUAAAAUGCAAAAAUAGUACCUUUAAAUGUUAAUUCCUACUAAUUUCCUUCUAUUUUUCUAUAGUUUUCGUCAAAUCUAACAUGCGAUAAAUAUUUGAUAGGACCAAAAUUGUUAAGUACAUAUUGAACUAUUUUGAAUUUGUAACAUUUGUGGUGGGUAAAAAUUCAUUUGCACGAUAUAUUUAUAUCAAACGGUGAAGGUAAGAUAUAUGUCUUGUUUAUACACUAUUUAACACUUGGUCAUAAUUAAGUAAAGUUUAUUUUUACUCUAAAUUUUUAAUCUUUAAAGCAGAGACACAUCAUCAAAGUGGGCGUCUGGUUAAAAACCUUUCAAUUUCUACUAAUUCUCUUCUUGUUGUACUAUGCACAUAAUGAUAGCCAUACCACGUUAUUGUCAGUGGCGGCUGUUGUUAAGAAAACACUCAAGAAUCGAGAUAGACCCAACUUGAUGGCCUUCACGGCGAUUUAGAAAUUAACAAAGGUAAUAAUGUAACCAAAGGUAGAUGACAUUAAUGAUGUUUACCAUACAUCAGAAUGAAUCAAUUGAAAAGGACCACUAGUUUUAUUGACAGAGAGAAGAAAGAUAAUCGACCUUUUGUUUGCCCAAAUGACAAACAUUACAAGAAUUACUGUCGAACGAAGAUGAAGAACUAACAUUUUAAGCACAACACAUAUCAAUUGCUUAUCAACCUUUUUUUUUGAAGCGAACAUAUCAGUUGUUUAUCAACUCAAUACUUUUAUCCAAAAGCAUAACCACUUACUUAUAAAAUUCAUUUCAACACUUAGAGCUUAUCCGCUAUUUUUAUUUUUCUAUAGUUUUCGUCAAAUCUAACAUGCGAUAAAUAUUUGAUAAAGACUAGAAGUCUUUAACUUUUGGUAAACUUAAAGGACCAAAAUUGUUAAGUGCAUAUUGAACUAUUUUGAAUUUGUAACAUUUGUGGUGGGUAAAAAUUCAUUUGCACGAUAUAUUUAUAUCAAACGGUGAAUGUAAGAUAUAUUUCUUGUUUAUACACUAUUUAACACUUGGUCAUAAUUAAGUAAAGUUUAUUUUUACUCUAAAUGUUUAAUCUUUAAAGCAGAGACACAUCAUCAAAGUGGGCGUCUGGUUAAAAACCUUUCAAUUUCUACUAAUUCUCUUCUUGUUGUACUAUGCACAUAAUGAUAGCCAUACCACGUUAUUGUCAGUGGCGGCUGUUGUUAAGAAAACACUCAAGAAUCGAGAUAGACCCAACUUGAUGGCCUUCACGGCGAUUUAGAAAUUAACAAAGGUAAUAAUGUAACCAAAGGUAGAUGACAUUAAUGAUGUUUACCAUACAUCAGAAUGAAUCAAUUGAAAAGGACCACUAGUUUUAUUGACAGAGAGAAGAAAGAUAAUCGACCUUUUGUUUGCCCAAAUGACAAACAUUACAAGAAUUACUGUAAGAUGAAGAACUAACAUUUUAAGCACAACACAUAUCAAUUGCUUAUCAACCUUUUUUUUUUUUGAAGCGAACAUAUCAGUUGUUUAUCAACUCAAUACUUUUAUCCAAAAGCAUAACCACUUACUUAUAAAAUUCAUUUCAACACUUAGAGCUUAUCCGCUAUUUACAAUCAACUAACACAAAAGGGCUCUUGAUAUAAUAGUCCCAACCAAAAAAGAUAAAAUAAUAGUUUGAGUAAAGCUUGUAGUACCCUGAACAAUGAUCGAAUUUGCUACGACACACUCCAACAUCACGGGGAUCCUAUUACCCCAUAACUAAAUUUUAGCAUAUUUUUAUUAAUCUUUUUAGUUGACGUGGAAGCUUUGAUGUGAGUCUUAUUUUAUGUAAUAAAAGUAUCACGUCAGCACAAAAAGAUGACAAAAAUAUGCUUAAAAUAAUUGUAAGGGGUAAUAGAAUCCCUGUAAAGUUGGAGUGUAUCUUAACAACUUUUGACCGUAGUUUAAAAAGGUACUGGAUACUUAUCUCAAAUAGUUUUUUGAAGAAAGUAGAAGAUCAUGAUACAAGAAGGAUAAAGAGAAAAUGCCAAGAGGGUUGUCCAAAGUGGAUAUCUUGGGCUAAAUAAUGCAAGAAGCCCAAUUAUUGCACAAGCAACCAAAACUAUAAUCACUUGUGCUGAAUAAUCCCAAGUUAAGUCCUUUGCACACACUAUAGCCAAUAGUGUUGCCAUGCCCAUGAUGUUGUUCAUGACCACAUCACCAUAUAUCUGUUUGCAAAAAAGAUCAAACAUUCAGCACAAUGAUUCAUUUAUUCACAUUACCCGUUUCACUCUAUUUAUCUAUAUUAUUUGGGUGUUUGUUUUUGCUCAAAGUCUAUUUCAUCAAAAAAAUUUCACUUUAAGGUAUACUUUAAUCACCUUUCUAUAUAGUUUUUUUCAAUACCUAACAAACAAGUACAUAGUAUAAUAUUAUUAAUCAUUUUUGUAGCUUACUAAUUUGUCAAAUGUUGUUGUUAUCAUAUCAACUUUUAAGCCUAAAUCCACGUUAAGUUAGUAUUGUCAUGCAUGUGUAAAAAGCUUGCCCUUUAGUUGCAUGCAUGUGUAAAUUAACACUUUGCAUGAAACCCAUAUCAAAACUAAUUUUAAUUUUCUUUCUGUAUAGAUAUGAAAUAUCAACACUUUGUGCAUCCACGACCAUCACGGUAUGACAUAUAUGCCAUGCAAAGUAAGCAUCGGUUCAAGGCUAUUUGAAAAGGUACAUUAGAAAGAGAAAAGGCAUGUUUGAUAGUGCGGCGUGAUGAUAAUGAUUUUUGGCUUACUCAAAGAUCAAACUCACUAUCCGUGGGUUCUUCAACAAUAGGGGAAUGUUCCACACACGCAUACAUGUCAAGCGUCGGUAGAUUAAGGCGAUUACCAAAAAUUUUAACGGUGCAAAGAAAUAAAAAUAAAGAAUCAUCAUUCCAAAUAGGAGUUUCACCAAAUAUUGAUUGUCUGUUGGACGUAAAAUAAUUCGGAUAUCAUCUAGAAAUAAUCACAUAUCUUCCGGAUUAGUAAUACCCAUUUUACUCCUAAUCAACCUUUUCAAAACGAUCAUAUUUGAGAGACAAAGGAAAUGAUUGAACCACUAUAGGACGCCGACUAUAUCGCACUGAAUUCCCCUCAUGCAAAACUUCACCACCCCAAUGUAAAUUUUUUCUUACUUUAUCUAUUUUAAAGUAAGAAACGAAUAAGGUUCAACAAAUAUUUUGAGUUAUGAAGUUUAACAAAAAAAAUUUUUGAGUUGAUGCAAUAAAUAAACCUACACUCACACUCUUUAUAUAGCAUUGAGAAUUUUGAAGUUGUAACAAGAUAAACAUGGGAUCCUACCUUACAAGCUGAACAUGAGAUCUUACCUUACAAGGUUAACGACUCCAUUUACCUUGUAAUACCUUAAUGGAUCAGUUUUGAAAUUUUUCCAUUUUGAUGUGCCCUUUUGGAAUUUUGACUUAAAAAACUUGCCCUUUAGGUUCCGGACUCGGAAAAAAUAUAUCUAAAGCUAAUUGUGUAUCUCGACAGAUCCAAAAUUGAAAUUCUCAGUAAUUAUGCAAAAUAUCAGAAUUUUCUGUAAUUAAGCUUCAAACUGUCAGGAUUUAUGUUGUUUUCCCAUAGUGUAUAGAACCAUUUCUGAUCCAUGUAGAUACUGGGUAACGUAUCACAGUCGGUCGAACCAGGAUUUGAAGUUUAUCGAUUCUGGACUUGUUAUUGAAUCUAUAGCUUGUUUUAUUACUGGUUUCGCGAUUAGAUAUUUAUACAUAUUGAUGAAAAUACAAACUACUACUCUCUGAAAGUACUUUUUUCUGAAAGGAAAUACAUAGAUAAGAUACGACACAUUUAACUUAGCUCAACCGGCAACUAAACACCUCAACUUUGAAAAUGCACAUCCGAAAAGUGUGCAACUUGAGGUGUGUAGAUAUGUGCAGCUUAAACCAAGUCAAUUUGUCUAGAAGCGUAUAUUCAAAGCCGGGGUGUUUAGUUGCUAGUUGAAAAGUAGUCCUAACAAAAAGAACUUUGAAAAUGCACAUCCGAAAAGUGUGCAACUUGAGGUGUGUAGAUAUGUGCAGCUUAAACCAAGUCAAUUUGUCUAGAAGCGUAUAUUCAAAGCCGGGGUGUUUAGUUGCUAGUUGAAAAGUAGUCCUAACAAAAAGCAUUUUUAAAAAGAGCUAAGUAUCCAUUACCCCCCUCGAACUAUGGUCAAAGUUGCUACAACACAUUCCAACUUUACAGGGAUCCUAUUACCCCUCUGAACUCAAUUUUAGCAUAUUUUUGGCAUCCUUUUGUGCUGACGUGACACCUUUAUUACACAAAAUGGGGUUCACGUCAGCUAAAAUGAUUGACAAAAGGUUCCACUUCAGCAUAAAAGGGUGACAAAAAUACGCUAAACCUGAGUUGGGAGGGUAGUAGGACCCCCGUGAAGUUGGAGUGUGUCGUAGCAAAUUUGGUCAUAGUUCAGAAGGUACUAGAUGCUCCACUCCUUUUAAAAUAAACAAAUUUUGAGAGCCUGAAUAAAAACAGGCUAUUAUAAUACUGUAGCUCCACCCCUGGCCCUGACAAUUCUAGUUAUGUGAGAGAAAGAGAAAGAAUUAAACUUACCUCAGAGAAUGUCAAAGAAGAAGUUUUUGAGCUCUUCUGACUGGCUGGAAAGAUUGCUGCUAGUGCCAUUCUUGCAUUUAGAGCCAAUGGUACUAUCACAAAGGGGAUGAGAAAAGAAGGCAUUCCAAUAGCUUCAGACAAAUUUUCAAUACUUUUUACUAGUGGUUUUGCGCAAAAUGUCAGCAUUGCAAUCCCCAAAAUCACUUCAAAUAUAGACUUGUUAAAAGCCCAUGUCAACAACUUAUAGUUGAUCUUUCCAUCUUUUUCCACCUCAUACACCAAUUUUUCGACUUCACCCCACAUAAUCUACACACAAUAAGACCACUUUAAGGCAAUCGUGAGGAGGAGCCUUUAGAAAGAAAAUGAAUCAAGUGAAGGAUAAACGUAUGUAUGAAUACAUAUUCAUGUUGUUUCUAUAAAAAAAUUUAGAAAAAUUAGUGUGAAUUGAUUCUACAUUGAAGAACGAAAAAUCAUUGAUAUUCUUGGUAUCUUUAAGAGAUAAGCAUCCAGUUCCCCUUGAACUAUGGUCAAAGUCGCUACGACACACUCUAACCACACAUGAGUCUAAUUACCUCCUGAACUCAAUUUGUGUAUUUUUGAUACCCGUGCCGACGUAACACCUUUAUUACAUAAAAUGGGGUCCACAUAAAGGUGCCAAGACAUCUAAAAAGGUUGAUAAAAGGUGCCACAUCAACACAAAAAGGUGGCAACAAUAUGCUAAAAUUGAUUUCGGGGUAAUAGGUCUCCGUAAAGUUAGAGUGUGUGGUGGCAAAUUUGAUCAUAGUUCAGGGUGUACUAUACUAGAUGCUUUACUCUAUCUUUAAUAAGUAAAGCAGACAAAACUAUAUAUAGGUCCUUAGUAGCAUUGACCAAGAAGAAGGAUAUGGAUAAAAGAACACAAACAUUUAGCUCUAUCGUAGUCCUUAGUAGAUAACUUUAGCCUACGAUAAUUCGUACAUCAGAACAGAUGACGAUCAUGCUUGUUCAAUAUAUCUCUUUCAUCUUGGAUUCCUAAGAAACGAAAGGUUUGGCUACUAUUUUUCAUAUGAUCUCCUCUUACAAAAACAACAACAACAUACACGGUAUAAUCCGCAAAUGGGGUCUCGUGAGGGUGAAGUGUAUGUAGAGAGACUGUUUCUAAUAGAUCCUCAUGUCAACUAUGAUCUUCUCUUAUAGAUAGACUAUCAAAAGUGAUACCUAACAAUCAAAUUUUCUACAAAAGAUGAUGUACAAAAGGAGCUUUCAUAAUUUAGAAUGUCAUUCCGAUCCUUAAAGGUUGAGUUUUUGCUAUUUGAGAAGUAUGAAAAAGGUCAAUCUCUCCUAUUGAGUCUCGUAAAGAUGCAGAGUAUUUCUUUGCAUAUGUAUAUUUGUCAAGAUGGAAGUAGGAAAAAUAUUGUUAAUUUUACCUUGUCAUAUUCAUCGAUGGCCCUCUUCUUGUCCUUGCAGUUAGUAACACGAAUAGCCUCAUUGAUCCAUCUAGUCAUUCCAUCGACAAACUCAGGUUCAUCAAUCAUGUCAUUACGAUCUGUAUCAAAAUCUUUCAUCACCUUCGUGACUGAAUCAUCACUAUUUAGUUGCACUUCACCAUAUUUGACUGAACGUAUUAAUUUUUCCAAUUCUUUCCGUGUUAUGGAAUUGUUCCCGUCAGUAUCAUACUGAUGGAAGAUUCUGCAAGCAUUACAAACCAAGAUGAGGAACAGAUAGGUCUAAGACUUUUUUUAUCUUUAUUUGGUUGUGUUCGGUAUGACAGAAGUCAUUUUUCAGGACAGUAAAUGUCCCAUGAGAAUGUCAUUUCUGUUCCUACCUAUGGUUUUGUGUAGUUGUAUUGUCGUGUUAUUUUGUUGUAGUAACUUUUUCGCUAUUAUCUGUUGUUUUCGUUACUAUAUAGUGCUUCUUGUACUUUCAUUACAGUCUUUUUUAGAAUAUUUUUGUCUUGAUCCAGGGGUCUAUCGUAAACAACCACUCUACCUCACCUCUGAGGUAGAGAAAUAAUCUGUGUGCGCUCUAACACAUGGACAUUAUUACUAAUCUUUAGUACUCCAAAGUUUCAUAAGAACACUCUCCCGUUACACUUUUUACGAAAGUAUAUUUUCUGCUCGCCAACUAAACCCUGGAUGACAUUUUCCAUGAAAAACAUAUUUUAUGAAAAAUGACUUCCUUCAUACCAAACACGUGUGAUCUUUUCUAAGGCGUUUCCUCUUAUCGUGUGAAAGGAACUUACUCUUUUAUAUGUUUCCUCUUAUCGUGUGAAAGGAACUUACUCUUUUAUACGUUCAAUGUUGGGAGUUCCAUCGUCUUUGAGAAAGUGUUCAGCUUCUAAUGCUUGGCUUUCCACAUGCUUCAAGAUUUUUGCCAUUAGUUUUUCAAUUUCAGCUAUUUCAUCCCUUUGCUUCUUAAUAAACGGCUGAACAACCUGUUGACAUAUUGAUAUGUUCUCAGACAAUGUAAAAAAUAAAUAUACUAUCACCAGAGACAGACUCAAGAUUUGAAGAUGACUGCAGCAUCACCACUAUCUUUUUUUUAUUUUUACAGAUAAAACAUGACACCGUUAUCUUUAAUAUUGUCAUGGAGAGAGAAACUGAUUGAGCCUUUUUGAGGUAGGGUAGUGGCGGAGUGGGAUUUGAACCUAAGUCAUCACACACAGACACAGAGGCGCUAAGCUAUGUUGCCUCUUCAAAAAUGUUGAUGGAUGCGUGUCGGAUCUUUCAAAAGUAGUGCAUUUUUGAAGGAUCAGCCCCGGAUGCGACAACACUUUUGAAGAGUCUGAGCGACAUAGGAGCUAAGUAGCGAAUUCCACCAGUGCCCCAGCGGGCCUUUGUGUUUCAAGGUGCCAAACGAUAUAUCCAAAAUUAACAGGUACGGUGACUCUCUUCUUGACCCCUUUUCCUUUCAUAUAGGUCUGCCCUUAGUGAUCACCUGGUAAAAAACUACGCCACUUGCUAUAACAGGUUAAAUUACAUAGGCAGAUCUUUACACUUGAGCGUACACAACUAUGCAAGGGGAAAAUGAGAGAUUUUAGAAGAUAUUACUGUAAGUUUUUGCUUGCCUUAUUCAAAAUCCUUCUGGUGGUAGAAUCAUCACUUUUAGCUAACAUCUUAGCUUCUUCUAUCCAUAUUUUGUAUCCUUCUACAAACUCUUCCAAAUCGAUUUUCUGGUCAUUGUUACGGUCAAAAACCGCCAAUAUUUUGGAAAUAGCAUAAUUUUUGUCAACCUUAACUUUCCCAGAUUGCAUAUCAAUAACCAAAUUUUCCAACUCAACAAGGGUUAUGCUUUUGUUUGCAUCCUUAUCUGUCUCGAAAAAUAGCCUGCAAAGUUUAUAUUUAGCGCGAACUGUUGAGAAAAUAAUUAAACAAAUAAAAGUGUUCUCUCUCUAACAACUUAUGCAUUGAGAUGAGAUGGCCACAUGCUUUAACAUGGUAUUAGAACAAGCAGAAGUCUUGGGACAUGCGAAACUACCUUUCGAUGACCUGAAUAUCAGGUCGCCCUUGUUCAUCAACGAGCUUUCCUUUUGCAUGCCUUUGCACAUGUUGGAGAAAAGCAGCUAGCAGGUUCUCAUAUUUCGAAUAUUCUAAACUUCUUUUUUGAAUCCAUGGAUCCCAAAGCUAUGAAGAAAACAAGAAGUUGAAAAAUUUUCAAGUCAAUAAGAGAAUAAAGUCUCACAACAAACGAACAUCAUAUAUGAAUGUGUUUUAAGUUAUCACAGCCCCUUAAGGUGUGACCCUUUGCCGAACUUUAUAUGAAUGUGGGAUGCUUCGUGCACCAAUUGAGCUUUUUAUGUCAUACAACACUCAUAGAGUUUCAUGGUAACAUUUUGUUCUUCACCGCGUUUGAUGUUCGUUCUAAAUUUUGAAUAAUUACCUGAUAAGUGAAGUAUGACAGCAAAAAUAUGCCUGAUACUACAAGUGCGGUGUAGAUCACAAUACGUCUUCCAAAGUGUGUGUUGAAAGCAUUAACAAGCUCCACCAGAGCAAAUGGGAUCAAGGAGAGAAGCAUGAUUCCCGCAGUGUAAUUAGUCUCUUUGUCAAUUGUAACGCCGUUAUCUGUAAGUAUUGAAGAAAUUAAGAUCUCAACAUAGGAUUCAAUACUUAAUCCCUACCUUGUAAAGGUAGAGAGGUUGUUUCCGAUAACCCUCAGCAUAAAGUAAAGCAUAUCAAAGCAGGUUUGAACAGGAAAUAUAGUAAUGAAGAAGUUAUUUCAAAAUAACAGAGAAAAGUUAUGUUGAAAUAACAAAUAAUGCAAUAACCGAAGCAAAGGAAACAAUACGUAAUACUAAGCAUCCAGUACCCCCGAACUAUGGCAAAGUUGCUAUCACACACUCCAACUUCACACAGGUCCUAUUACCCACCUUUUGUCAACCUUUUCAGCUGACGAGGCACCUUUGACGUGGGCCUCAUUUUAUGUAAUAAAGGUGUCACAUCAGCUAAAAAGGAUGACAAAAACACGCUAAAAUUUAGUUCAGGGGUAAUAAGACUUCCGUGAAGUUUGAGUGUGUCGUAGAAAAUUUGGUCAUAGUUCGAGGGUACUAGAUGCUUUACUCUUUUGGAAAAAACGCAGUUUCUACUACAACUCGAAACACUUAUCUUUUUCCUAAAUGCUUGGCCAAACAACGCAACUUUUUAAACUAAACACUUUGAAAAAAAAAGAAAGAAAGACUUUUGGCUUCACAGAAGCUUAACCGAACAGGCUAUAAAGGCUUGUAGAAAACUUACUCUUUAAAACCUGCAAACGGUUCGAAAGUGAGGAUUCUGCAGGUUGUUGCAACGUUGCAUGCUCCUCUUUUGCGCCGAAUAUGACACAUAUUCCCCACAUAAGAGUAAGGUUAAGGACUGUGGCUCCAACAUUAGCGCUUACUCCAGUAUAGACCUGAUUCUGAGCUUUCUCUUUACUAGAAAAAACUCCAGAUGCUACAAGAAAGUAGUAUCCAAACUAUAAUUAGUUGAUCAUGUAUAACAGCGUUGUGACUGUAAAUAGAAAACUAUUGGUGUAAAACAACUCAAAGAUACUCUUAAUAUGGUGUGAUGUUGUCCGUUCUGUUCAGUACCAGAUGCUUUUUCCGUAAAGUUUUCACACCAUUAAGAGUAUCCAAUACAUUAUAAGUAGCUCUUUCAUGGAACUUUGUUCGCACUCACCAAUAAUCUUCCCCUUGAACUAAGUUCCACAUGACCUAUCACUAUUGACGGGCAAACUUGGAUAUACAUGGCGCGCCACUCAACAUCACAUAAGAGUAAGGUUAAGGACUGUGGCUCCAACAUUAGUGCUUACUCCAGUAUAGACCUGAUUCUGAGCUUUCUCUUUACUAGAAAAAACUCCAGAUGCUAUAAGAAAGUAGUAUCAAUAAAACUAUAAUUAGUUGAUCAUGUAUAACAGCAUUGUGACUGUAAAUAGAAAACUAUCGGUGUAAAACAACUCAAAGAUACUCUUAACUUAUAAGUAGCUUUUCCAUUCUUUUCUACUUUCAUGGAACUUUGUUCGCACUCACCAAUAAUCUCCCCCUUGAACUAAGUUCCACAUGACUUAUCACUACUGACGGGCUAACUUGGAUAUACAUGGCACGCCACUCAACAUCAACCGAGUAUUUAUGCAUCGUCAAAGCUAUGUGAAUAGAUAGCAAAUCGGCCUGUAGACGGGCAAAAGGCACUAAGCCAAGCCCCAUGCCAACACGCCAUCAUCUUCAUAACUCUCGUC